UGAUAUGAACUAUUUUUAUUUUCUUUUAAGCUUCAACAAUGUUGUGGCUUCCAUUCUGUUGCCAUUCUUGUGUUGCAUGAUAUUGUAAUUGACAUGCAGUACUCCUGUUUUUGUGUAUGAUGUUUUUAGUUUAAAUUGCAAAAAAAAAAAAAAAACUAAGUUCCGUUAGAAGUUUUAAGCGUCAAUUUACCCAAGAAUCAUGAAUACUGGCACACUGAUGCAAGAUAUGUUACUGUUUCAUUUAUCUUACAGCUAUUCUCAAUGAUUUCUUAUGAGAAAUAUUGUUCCUGUAAUAUACUUGGUAUGUCUAUCCUGUCAAAAAGGUAUUUCUCUCCAGCCAGGAAAUGAAGACCGGCCUCUUGGACUGUGGUAUAUUUGACACAUAUAGGUUCUGUUAUCUGGCAUGAUACUGGGGGCACCGUGAUAUCUGUAUUAGCUGUGUGGUGUUAGUUUUGUUUCAUAUUGAUUGAAUAUUUCUUUGAACAAGCAGCUUUUCACAUGCAACAACAUCAUGAGCUGAUUUCAUUUUGUUUUUCCAACAAAUGGCAGCUCUUGCGGGAAACUAUGUCAACUUUGGCGUGUUUGAAUUGUAUGGUGAUAGAGCUCUCUCAGAUGCACUUGACAUUGCUCUGAAGAUGACCCUCUCAAUUCCUUUGGCUGAUAUAUUGGCUUUCAGGAAGGUAUGGAACAUCUAGGGAUCGUUUGGUAUCAAGUUUUGAUUGCCGUUUGAUUGUUUCUGUACAAUAGUUGCUAAAUUUUUUCUAAAAAGCUUGUAUGAUUGUUUGUCAUUAUGGAUGUCAAAGAAAUAUGUUGGGACCCACCCGAACUAGAUGAGAUUAGUGUUAAAAUUUAAAAUAUUGAGGGAAGAGAUGGGUUUCGGCAUAGACCCAGACCCAUUUUGAUGUUGAGCUGAGGAUCCUAGUUGACACCUUGACCUGUCCUGGUUUUAUAGUAAUAUAUAUUACUUUUUUUAAAUUUUAAUUUUAAUAUUUAACAUCUUAUAAAUUAUACCACUUCAAUAAAUUGAAUCUAGAUUCUUAGACCUUGUGCAUAAGUAACUCCUCUUUCUUCCUUACCCGAAAAAUAUUAUUGAUUCUUUGGUUUUUUUCAUUAGGUUUAAUCCCAUAGCUUUCUAAAAUUAUUGUUGAUUUGAAAUGAAAAAUUGUUGUUUUUUCGGAUGAAUUUGUUUUAAAAAUAAUAAAGAAAAGAUUCAAUUUAAUAAAUAAUUCAGCUUUUUAUUUAUUUAUUUUUAUUUUUUAAAGAAGGAAAAGGCAAAAAAUAAUUAAUAAGAGAGCAGUAGGAUGGGGUGGAGUCCACCUAGCCAUCUUCCCGCUUGAUUUCAAGUUGACCAUAUAAGUGCUAUUCUGCGUGCAUAAUAUUUUGGGGAUACAUAUUUUUUAGAAUUAAAAAUGGAGAAAUGUUCCAGAUCAAAUAAUCACCUUUUGCAAAAUCUUUAACUCUUAUCUUUAAUAUAGGGUUGUGAAGUCUUGUUGGUCCAACUGGAUCUCUUACAUUAUAUGAAAAUAUCUCUAAACCCAGUGAUGUGUGUGUUUGAUCAUAACAGCUGAAUGUCCAUUAGUUUAGACCAAAUUGGACGAUCCAUUUUGCUCUUUCUUGCUUCAAAAAGAAUGGGCUUUAUCAUAGUAUCUUGUCCCUUGACUGUUGAAAUUUUAGCUGGUUGGUGUUGCCAAAGAAAGGAAAACGAGUUAAAUGCCAAAAAAUAGGAAGAAACUUCGGGCCAAGUCUAUACUUUUGGGAUGGUUUUCAAUUAGUUUAUUGCUUUUGUUUAAGGAGCUGUCCAUCAUACGUACGUAAAGAUCUAGUUAGGACAGGUUCAGGUUCUUCCUAAUUUUUGUGGAUUUUUGGGGGGGGGGGCGGCGGGGGUGUAAAAUCUCAUUUCAUUAAUACAAGUUUUCUUUCUUUCUUUUCAAAAGGAAAGAAACAAAGGGUAAAUGGUUAAAUGAUAUGGUUAGUGUAAUACAUCAAGAUACUGAUGGAGUUUUUCUCGUUGAUUUAUUUUCUCCAUUGAGAAAAUGUUUUCUCUUGCCAUAGUGCAUUACAAAGUUACAAUGCUUGGGUCCACAUAGGAUUUGUUGUUUUGUUUAUUUCUUUUACAAGAGCCAGUUCUUUAAUUCCAUUGUUUUUCUUGCUUGUUGAAAUUCUUGGAUUAGAUACUUUUACAUACAACUGGAGAUGAGAAAACCUGGAAUGAUUGGAAAUUGGUUUAGAACUGAGGAAAUUGGAGCAGUGAAAUUAUGGAUUGAUGUUCAGUUUAUUUGCAAAACGUGGAAACUGAAUGAAAGAAAGUGAUAAAUACUAGCCCUAUUCUAAUAGAAUUCAUCUCUGUAAAGGAAAGGUAUCAUCACACGCAGAUUUUGUAGCACCAAAACAAUGAAACUUUUCUUUUUAUUAUUGUUCAAUAUAUUUGAAAGAAGUUAUUUAAAUGCUCUAUAGACUUGUGAGCAGUUAACUCUGAUCAUAAGAAGUCCGGACCAGUGAAAGUCCCACUGCAUUAACACUGCUAACUUGCCAUUCUUCACAACCACAGCACUUCAAUACCAACAAGACACUGCCGCCCCAAACCCGAUCGCUUUCCCGAACCCCAGGGAGAAGAAGAAAUGUCCCAUUGCAUUAACAUUUCUGCUAUUGCCAUCUUCGUAAUUAUUCAUAUUUGAAAGUUUGAAACUGCUGGUCUCACGUCAUCAGCCACUAUUUUUUACUUCACCAUUGCCAUUCCGCUCGUCUUGAGCUCUAUAGACAGUACUUGGUGACUGACAUCAUUUGACCUCUGUUCUCACUAAUUAUAAAGAUUUUCUUCUUAUCUUAAAGGUUUUAUUUUCUCUGUGCCUUGAAUUACUUACACAGUGGUUGCAACCUCCAAAUCUGUUCACUCUUUACCCCCAAAAGAAGAAAAAUUACUGCAAACAAUGCCAGAGUUUUCAGAUUUACAAAAGAAUUAUGAUGAUGACGGUGUCAUUGCCAGAGCAGUCUUUCAAUUCUGGACAAUGACAUCGGGGCAUAAAGAUAGCUAUACUUUCUUGGGAUUUUGUCAUAUUAAUGGCCUGUUAACAAUAAGAUAUUUAGAGCAAUGAAGUCAAGUUUUCACAUUCCUUAAACGAUGGAAGUAUAUAUGGUGUGAAAGAUACCUGAAUCUAUUAAUAAUAAUGCUUCUAGGAUGAUUUGGAGCAAGUUAAAUGUGUAUACUUGGUUCCUUUAAUGAAUCUUUUUGAUUGCAGAUUACUUUGUUGUUUAGUUUGUAUAGUUUCUGUUUCUUUGCAGUUAACGAAGGCCUACUUUGCAUUCUUGGAGGUUUUGUUCAGCAGCCACAUCACAUUUAUUUUGAAUUUGAAUACAAACACCUUUAUGCAUAUAGUUGGUUCCCUUGAAUCUGGUCUUAAAGGUCUGGAUACGAAUAUCUCUUCACAGGUAUGUAUUAACGUUCAAUCAGAUUAUUUCUGAUCCAUCCUCUCUUUCCUUUGAAGGUGUCUUGUGUUAAUUUUUUGAAUGAGGUUUCCUUGAUGUCUUUUGAUGAUAUGGUCCUUUAGCAUUAAUUUUUUACUGCUGUCCAGAGUACAUUUAGACCAUGUUUGCAACCUUUUAGGGUGUUCUUAUUUUCAUGAAUGACUUCCCUAGUUUGCAUCCUUUCUUUGUAAUAAAAGUUUCUUUGUUUCCUGUCAACAAAAUUAAAAAAUAAAAUAAAAUAAUGCAAAGUAGUAUUUAAACUUCCCCCCCUCUCUCUCUCUCUCUAUCUUCCUCUUUCAUUUUUGAAGUGCCAAGAAUUAGUUGGUUCAGUAGAAUGCAAAAAGUAUGGUUUUUUCUUUGGUGAUUUUUUUUUUGGGCCCCCCUUUACCAGAAUUGCUAGUUGAUAAUGGUAAACUUCCAUUCUGUCUUAUGAAUAGGACUAUAGGAGGUAAGGCAAAUAGAAUGGGUUCAUAUUCUAAUCUUGUGUAUUUCUACAUAACUAAGUGAAUGUAUAAUAAAUACAUGACCUCUCACUUUUAUAAAUCUUCAGUCUGAUUAUUAUAGUUAAUGUACCCCUGGCAUCGGAUCAUAUCAUAAUGGAUCUUUUGGGAAUUUGUUAGAAUUUUCUUUUAUCUUCAACUGGGAAAAAAAAAAAAGAUACAGGAAAUAAUAAGAGAAAUAAAAAAUAAGAGACAAGAUAGUAAAGAAAUGGAUUAUCAUAUAUAUAUUUGAUCAAGAAGGAUCAAUAAGCAUUUCAUUUGGUUCUACAUUUCUUGAGCUUAUAUGCAGGUAUAUGCCCAAAAGUGGCACCAAGUUAUCUGUUUAUGUCCUUUCCGGUUUUCAUUGGAAUGUCUUGUUUCAGUGUGCUGCUGCUGUGGACAAUUUGGCUGCUUUCUAUUUCAAUAACAUAACUAUGGGGGAAGCACCCACCUCACCUGCUGCAAUUAAUCUCGCAAGACACAUUGUAGAGUGUCCCACUUUGUUUCCAGAAGUAAGUAUAGAGUUGUUUAUAUAUAUAUAUAUAUAUAUUAAUGUUUACUAAUAGAAACAAGAUAUCCAUUGUGAUAAAAAAUUAGUGGCAUACAUAGUAAAGCAGUUAUCUACCUCAAAAUACCUGAACAUGGAAAAAUAGAAAAUAAGAAAAAUAGAAACAAGAGCUAAGAUCUUAAAAAUCAAAACCAAAACAGCAUUCCAAUUUAUAAUUUUAUAUAAAAGCCCCCUUUGUAAUAGCCUCUUAAAAAAACCUUUAAUUUUUGUCCAUCCAGCAAAGUUAGAAAUAGUCAACACACCAUCUCCUUGUAACUUAAGCCAAAAAAAGCUAAGUGAAUGAUUUCUUUUGUUGUGUUUUUAAUUCAAAGCGUCAAAAAAGCUUUUAUUAAUGACUAGAGGGUGAGCAGGAUGUCAACAGAAACUAGGAACAAGUGGAAGGAGCUCAAAAAGAUCUAGACUGUAUAAAUCAGCUCUUACAAUAACUAUAAGCAACUGACAAAUCUGAAUUAAAACACAAAAUGACCUGAAACUCCUCAGCAGCUUUAGUGCAUAAAGAAAUAUGAGGUACCCUGGAAUCAGCUCACUCCACAAAACUUUCGCAACUUGUCUAUUACCCAGGAUGUGAAAGUGUUUCAUGAGAAAAGAGCUUCAGUGUGCUGUAGUGAUGCACCAAGUUUUCACACAUGAAUUAGUUUAUACCGCAAACUUAAAGCAAUGUUGCAGUGCAAGGACAAGGAUAGUCUAGUUAAGACUUAGAUUUCUCUAUCAUUUAAGUUCCUUAAACAGUUGGAGUGCCAGUUAACCGUAGGAAGCUGUGGAAAAGCUGGGUGAAUGGUUAAGGAACCAAUUAAUUUUAAGGUGCUGAGUUGGUGGAUGGUUUCUGAAAUGAGAAUAAAGAAGGCAUGAAUGUGGCCAAUAUGCUUUUGUUUUUUCUCUCUUCAUUGGCCAAUAUGCUUUUGUUUUUUCUCUCUUCAUUUUCUUUAUUUCAUUCCAAAUUCAACUAUACUUUGGGGGACACAGGCUGUUUUUUAUCUCUCUUUCGCUUUGUUUACAACUGAGAAUUUUGUGAAUUCCUCUUUAUUCUUCAUUUUGCAAAUGAGAAUGUUUUCAGAUAGUAUUAUGAUUUUCUGUUUGUAUUUCAUAUGUGCCGUUAUUCUUUUUAUGACUUUUAAUUAUUUAUCUUUGGGGGUGGAUUGCUGGUUCACCUUAGUUGUAGAACAAGUUUUUAUUGCUUAAAAAAGAAUUUUUUUUUUCCCUAAAGAAAUUAAAUUAAAUUAAAUAUAUCCAAAUUCAACUAUCUUGUCUGAAUUUUACUGGAGUUCGAGUGGUAUUUUUAAGUCAGAUGUAAUGUGACAAAAACAUUUACCUCAUAGUACAUGCCAUAGCCAAGAAGCAGCCAGCCAUUUCCAUAUGGCCUUUCAUCACUGGAUGACACUGAAUGGUUUGUAAAUCAGAAUGUGGAGUAUAUAUUCCAUAUAAAUUAUAUAUAUAUUUUUUUUGGGAAUUAUGGAUUGGAUAUACCCUGGAAAUAGGUACCUCUUACAUUAACUAUCUAGUUCCAAAUAAUGUCGUUAUAUGUUUGACAGGAAAAGUUCUAAAGCUAGAGUCUUUGACUGCAAACUCUUGAAAGUAUAGGUUUGUUCGUGCUAGAAGAUAUAUGAGCACUAGAAUGAGUUGAGUUUGGUGUUGAGAAUAUCUCUUUGUCAACUUGCUUUUCUGGUUUAUAUAUAAUUUUGCGAUGAUUAAUGUAACCAUGGUGCAUUUUAUAUUAUUUUUCCCCUUCUUUUAUUGCAGAUUUUUUGCUAUUACCCCCUUUUUUCUCAUAGUGCUUUCUUUUAUUGAAUCUCUGGGUGAACUAAUUUCUUCUCUAUACAGAUAUUGAAGACCUUAUUUGAGAUUGUUUUGUUUGAAGAUUGUGGCAACCAGUGGAGUCUAAGCAGACCUAUGUUAAGCUUAAUUCUUAUUAGCGAACAGGUGAUUGUUUAUAGCAUCUAACUACAUAAUUUUUCUUUUACUUCCUAUAUUACUCUGUACACUUCUGUAUCAUAAAGAUCAGAUACUGCUAUUUGAAUAAUUGAUUUGUUUAAUAUAAUAUAAUUUGCCCAUAUAUGCUCCUCAUCGAACAUCAUAAAAUUCCUGUCAUUCAACAAUGGAAUGGCAAGUUGUAUUGGCUGUCUGGUAGUUCUUAUGUGUGUCAUUUUACAUGCUUCUGCGUUUGAAGUCUGGCAGGUUUGCAUACCUCAUGUCACUUACAUCUUGUUCCAAUAAGUUAACCUUUUUCAUAAUAAUUAGUAAAGAAAAUUUGGAAAAUGAUUAUUAGGUAAAGCGGUUGGACAAUUUAUGAUUUUUCUUAGUUGGUUCAGAUGACCAUGCAAGACCUCAAAUCUAGUUUUUUAACAAUAUAAGAUGAUGACUGUUUAUACAAGGCUUAUGGUAACCUAUAGUCAUAGUCACAAACCUUGGUAUGGUAGUUACAUGACCUCUUAAAAUGGAUGGGUAGAAUAGCAGCACAAGACAAAUUUGUAUGCCACAUGACAUGCAUGUUUUAUAUGCAUUCUCGCUACUGUCUUAUUCUCUACUUGACUGUGAGAACGAAAAUUUACCUGCAGGUAUUUUCUGAUCUGAAAGCUCAAAUUUUGGCUUCACAGGUAAGUUAAACAAAACUAUUUAUAUGUUGAAGGAUUGGUGGUAUCGAUUGCUUUUCCCUGUUCCAAUAUUGUCUAAUUCUUAACAUGAUUCAUUUGCCAUGUAUCUUGCAGCCAGUCGAUCAGCAUCAACGUCUCUCUGUUUGUUUCGAUAAACUAAUGGCUGAUGUUGCUCGAAGUUUGGAUUCAAAGAACAGGGACAAGUUCACACAGAAUUUGACCGUAUUUAGGCAUGAAUUUCGUGUAAAAUAGCUCCAAACCAUAUGUGCAGUAGCUACCCGUUUUGUAAAAUGGAAGUGAAAUGUACUGCUGAUGAUGUUUGAUUAAUCAAAUCCCUCUCUUCAAGCAAGAGCUUCAUGUCUUAAGUACUUCAAACUAUAGACAUGGAUUCUUUGGGUAUGGACAGGAGGUCCAGCACGGUGUUAGUUUUGUUGGCCCAGCUUGAGGACGGCAGGGAUUCUUCGCAGUCUGUUGGUGUGACAUUGGGUUAAGUUUUGAAUGAAACUUUUUUUGGUGGUGUUUUGUAGAAUUAUUGCAUUUGAAGGGGGCAGUGUACCAAAAGAAAACUUAGCAGACAGGUACUGCCAUUCCAAGAUGUGACUCCCAAGGGUAGGUUUGCAGAAGUUAGCGAUAGGGUGUGAAAUUUGGUUGGGGAUGGCCAAAAAUGCAACUGGAUUAAAUUCUUUUUAGAAGAAGAUAGAUGUAAAAAAAGAAAAUCAUUCUUAGGAGGCUUAUCAUGUUUGAGAGAUCAGGCCAGUGGGAAGUAAAUUGUCUGUAAAUUUAACCUCUACAUAAUUCUUUUGUAUCUGUUGAUAAUAGAAUAGAAAAGAGAGGAAAAGAAAAUUUACUUGAAUGUUGGCUCUUUUUUUUUGGGGGAAAUUUUCAUAUUAUCUUCACCCGUCUCAAUGCUCUUUUUGGAGACACCCACCAUCUUUAUUUUUACCCAAAAAUGUUCGCACUUUUAUAAUUUCCUCACAUCAAAUCCCCAAAUUGAACAGAAAUAAAACCUGAUCAUCAAACAUAGGAGAUUGGGUCAACCCAUCAGUUUGUUAAUGGUAUGUUACAAUACUAGACGGGUUAGAGAAUGGUCCUAAUAUUCUUCAGUGCAUAUUUGUUAAAUGUCUACAAUUAAUUUGUUUCGCAAUUUAAAUCAAACUUGUUCAUAAAAAACAUAGGAGCUUUUAUGAUUUCGAACCCAAGAGAAUCAAUCAUGAGCAAACAAUUGGGAUAUUUGUAUAUAUGCCAUUAUGUGUCAUUCAUCGAUUAAUUUGUAUGUUAAUAAUAAAAUCAAUUAAUAUCACACACACAACUAUAUAUAGUUAAUGGGGCCAUCAAUAAGUAUAUUAAUUGAGUAAACAUAAUAUUAUUGAUAAAUCAUAGGAUGAUGGUAUUUCCGCUUCUACGCUUAAAAAUGAAGCUUUUUCAAUUGAUUGCAUUUAAAGGUUGCAUUUGCAAAUUUGCUAUCCUUGAUGUUUACGUCUUAAUAGAAGUGUUUUUUUUAUCAUCUUAAUGGCUAUCAAUUCACUUAAUAAACGUGACUUUCUUCUUGUAAUUAGUUCUCCAUUACACCAAUGAAAUGCGCAGUAAGUCAGAACAUCAUAAUCGAGAAACAAUAACUGGCAAUGGACAUAAAGAAAAGUAGCAUUUAAUGGCCUAAUUCAAGUGAGGUUAUUUAUCAAAAAGCAGAAACUGCAAAGACAGUUAAAUUUGAUGAUUUCAAGUGCUAGUAAAUAACUGGCAACAAAGGUCACAACCUGGUUGUUUUACGCUAAUUACAUGGAAGUUUUCACAGAUGUGUUGGGAGUUGGGAUCACCCCUAUGAUAGGCUAUUUCAAUGUCUCAGUAUCAAAAGAUUUCCCCAUUCCCACAAAAGUGGAAAAAAAUUUACAAAGAUUUCAUCUACUGACAAUAAACCAAUCUAGGUUUCCAUCGAAAACCUUACCUUUUUACGAGAACUUUUACCUUCUUUCUCCAGGACUCUGGACUUCUUAAGGCAUGAUCUUAUGUUGAAUCCAGGCAAUUCUGUUGCACAUGACGGAGAGGAAACAAGAUUCUUGGAUUCUCUCUUAUCUUGCAAAGGAUCAAGCCAAAAUUUGACAUCUGCUUUACCAAAGGCAAUCUUCUUCCUCUUUGCAUAUUGGUAAGCCGCCAUUGCAUCAAGCUGGUGUAAGAAGACUACUUGAGCAGAGCCAGUGUAGAAGUAGACUUUUGUGUUCAAACAAUCUAUCAUACCAAAUGGACUAAACUUUUUUACCAGCUCCUCCUUGGAUGGCAGACUAAAAUCCUUUGGGAACUUCAUCAACAAAGAUCGAGAAACAGCAAGAGUUGGAACUUCUGAUUGUUGUCCCACUUUUGAAUUGACCGCUGAAGGAGUAACAGGUUUUAAGAGCUUCUUCUUCUUCUUAAAGCUGUACUUGGAUGGCACACUACUGCAAUGCAUCAUCUUGAGUUCGUCAGCAGUAGGAUGAGAAUGUAAAUUCCAGGUUCCUCUGGUUACAGUAAUUGUGUCAUUAGUAUGAAUUCCGAUUGUGUUAUUUGACAUGGAUUGAGCAGGAGGAGUUUGCAUCAGCUUCUCAGUAAUAUCAUUAGCAUAAGAUAUCAAGGCACUAUGAUUUUCCAUAAUGGAUCCACAAUCUUCUGGCUGCUGGACAUUGGCAGAAGGUAUAUGGGUUCCACGGUUGUCAACUGUCUGAACAGUUUCAUCUGGAUUCUGAACUGUAGAGAUUUCAAUAAUCUUCUGGUUGCUACAAUGAGAUGUUGUGCAUUUUAUUAGGGAAAGAUAGAGCAAAUUCAGAUCCAAGUCCUUCAAGCUACUUGCUGAAGUUUGAGCCACAAUAGCAGAGGGACUUUGAGUCUUGAAGUCCAGUUGGGAUCCGGAAAACAAAGACUUGAAUAAGUCUGACUCACAUCCAGUUAUAUUUCUUAGAAUAUGACCACAAGCUUCAGUGAAAGAUAAAGACAUAUUUGUUGCCAUGGUAUUGAAUAAUUCACAAAGACUGGAAAAAGCAUUUCCUAAAAUGGAAGUAUCAGAAAGAAUGGCUUUGAAUCCUUCAUUACUUCUCCAAAGAUAAGCAUCAGCUCUAUUUAAUGAGAAAGACAAAGAAUUGUGUAGCUCUAGAGGAGGUUCAAAAUCAGAAGAAGAUUGGUCAAGCUGCCUCUUUAGACCUAGGCAGUUAAUAGGGCUUUCCAGAGAAGGUUCAAUGGGAAGAGUAGUGUUCCCUUUUCCUCCACCACGAACCUUAAUGUCCUGCCGAAACAUAAUAUAGCCAGGAUUAAAAAGUCGAGCUUCAUCCCUUUCAAUCAAGUUGUCAGAGGUACAUUCACAGGACAGACUUCUAAAGCUAAGAAUGUUCAACUUCAAAGUAUUCAUACAUUCUCCAUCUAAAUAAAAUGUAUAUCUAGAGCAGCAAAUUUGGAGUUUUACCAUCAUGUCUUGAAAUGGUUGUAUCUUCUGUCGUUCAGUUUCACUCGUCGAACAGACUUCAAGCUGAUCUUUGCCCCAACGGCUUAAAGACACUUCUGGGGAAAUAUCGCUUAUGUUGCUUCCAUUGGAAGAACAAGCUAACAUGUUAUCUUCCCCUUUCUCAGAGAAUUCCCGACAAUCAUCGCCAGCAUCCAAAGCAGCUGGAUCUGCUUCUACACAUGAGCAGUAGGUAUUCACACAAAAGGAACUUAUGAAUAGCAAAAUCUAUUGUACACCUUCAUUCCUUCAUUCUACAGUAGCACCUCAAUUUCAAAAAUAUCCUUAGUAGAAUGCUAAAUCAAAUUAAGUUAGUAGAAAGUAAAGCUUCAAACUAAUUGACAUAAUUAAUCAAUUUGUUGUGUCAUUUAUCAAAUGAAUUUGAAUCCAUUGUCGGUCUCUUUUAUAUAAUUUUUAGUGAAAAAAAAAUUAAAAAUGAAAUAAAAUCGCAAACCAGAAGCUGGGCUGAAAAAAUGACGGCGAAAAGCAGUAAACUGAGCAAAGGCAUUAGCAGCGUCAAGAUAAUCGACAACUUCGAUCCAAGACGAAACCGCCGCGCUGCGAGCAAAACCCAAAACCUCUCGAGGCCGAAACAAAUCGGAACGACGCCGUUCUUCCAAGCUCGACAAAACAUUUUUGCCGGACCGCUUCAGGGCGCGAUUCAACAAGUCGUCGUUCGUGCACUUGCGGACGAGGGACUUGAAAUUGGGCUCGAAAGAAACCACUUCUGAUUCGAUGAAAUAUCGACAGCAAGGGCAGUUUUGGGAAUUAAUAUUUUUGUUGUUGUUGUUGAAAGAGAAGGAGACUAAGACGCCGAGAGAGUCUUGUCUGAUAACAACCCCAGGCCACCAUUGGUGAGGAUACACUACUCUUGCCCACACUAUCUCUCCCCUCUCAAAUUUUGAAUUUCGCUCCUCCUUCUCCAUAUUUUUCCUUUUCUCUCUAAUUUUUCUUCCCUUUCUUCUGUUCUGUUUCUGAAAUUAUUUACUCAAUUCAUUCAUCCCAUUGCUUUUAAUUUGGCGGGAAUUUUCCGAUUUGCCGCCGAAUUGAAUUAGAGAAAAUGGCUAUAAUGGGCCGCCGCUGUGUAGCCCCACUCCAGCAGUCUCAACUCUAAACAGUAUAUAUUGGAGGAAUUUUAAUAAUUUCGUGACAUAACGGAUUAAUUUAUGUAUAAUAUGUGUAAUUAAAUUUAAUAUAAUUAUAAUUUUUUAAUAAUUUUUUAAAUUAAAUAUAUAUAUUUUAUUAUAUUAUUUACUUAUUAUAUAAUUAAUAUAGUACUUAUGAUGUAUUCUAAAAUUUAUCUUAUCAUACAUAUAAGUAUUUAGUAGGUGUAAUUUUGGAUUACUCUCCUCUAACUAUUUUUAAAUAAUUAUCCUUACUUUUAAAAUCUAAAUUUACCCCCUAUUUUUAGUAAAAAGACAAAAAAAAAACUCAUCAAUUCAACUUCAUUUUUUCAUUAUUUUAAUAUCUUUGACCAAAUUAUAGGAUAAUUUAAAAUUUUUAAAAAUAGGUAACGUAAUUUAAAAAUAAUCAAUUUAUAAAGAGAGUAAUUCAAAAUCCACAUUCUCUAAUUCUUCUCGUUUCUACUCUUUCUCAUUUUCUUAACAAGGACAAGACGCAAAAAACCAUUUGAAGGAAAUAUAACAAGUAGUACCAAAGCAGGUUCAUGUUAAGGGAGAAAUUAAAAAUGUGGCUGUGAUCAAGACCUAUAAGAAAAUCAUGGUUUACAAAUGUUCUUUUUUUUAAAAAAAAAAAUUCCAUUCUUGAAUAUAAUUAUUGAAAAUAGAAGUUUCAAAUUUAGAAUUAAUACAUAUAUAAAUCUCUGGCUUCUCCCUUGUUAAAAAUAUAAGAGCAGUAAAAGAGGUUACAUAAAUUAAGUAAUUAGCUCAACUUAUUAACAACAAUAUUGUCACAGCACAUACAUAAUAUUUUGUUUUCAUGGAUGUCUACAGUCUAUAAAAUAACUUAAAUUGAUUAGGCACAACAUAAACUUUUUUAUUGUCAAAUAACUUAAGUAGUUACCAUAAGAGGGUGAAAAUGUAGCAUUUUUAUUUAUUUAUUUGAAGGUAGUAAGUAUCAUAACCCCUUUGUAUUUGAGUGUAAGUAUUUUCAACUUAUAUUCGAGUAUAGGAAAUGUGUAAUUUUCCCAUAUUUUGUAUCAAAUCUUGUAUUAUAAAAAGGCUAAAUUUAAUUAUUUAUUAUUGUUAUUAAUUGGGAGCGAAUUUUCCCGAAUUGCCGCCAAAUUGCUGCUAAUUGGGCCGGGGUGUAUGGCCCAAUUAUUAGAGCACAUGCCCACAUGCUAUUACUAUAUUUUUUUUUUUUCCAAAGCAAAAAAUAUUACAUAGAGCAUAGAUUAUCUGAAAAUUUUCAACUACAGACUUGCAGCUGAUGUAAAUUGUAAAAUACAAAUCUUUGCAGCUGAUGCUUUAGUUUGCAACUUCUCUUGGGCAACUCUAUGGGACUGCUGCAUAUUUUAUAACUUGGAAGGCCAUAGCUUCGCUGCCACUUCAUUUUACUAUAAAUUUCACUACAUUGGUUCAAAUUUCUCCAAGGUUGUUUGAUACCCUCACUGAUGGCUAUCCCUUGUUCAAUUAAUGAACAUUUGUGUAGUGGCACCCCAGCCCCCCGAGGCCAAAAGAAGAAUAAAGUUCGCUAUAACAAUUAGUACAAUAUCUAUAAAAGACAGGAAAAAAAAAAUGUCUUAUUGUGAAAUUUUAUUUUGUUAUAUAGUAAUUUUUUUUUAUUCUGCAAUAAAAAUAAAUUAUUAUUAUUGGGUAGACUUUAGACCAUUUCGUUUCAUCCGGGAUAUCAGUAGUUUCCGAUUCUGGAACUCCAUUUUUGCAGUGGAUUUCAUAGUUUGUAGCUUAAUUUAUGCACCUUAAUUUUGUUAUAUUUAAAUAAUAAUUUUUGUGUUUGAUUGACAAUCAACUAAAUGUUUAAUUGGGAUUGAGGUUGGACAGCUGUAAGUUAAAAGUUACAGCGCUAAAAUGUUUGGUAAACACUAUCUACUAUACCUUAAAAGUCAUGUUAACAAAAAUUUUCACUUAUAUAGUAAAAAAAUAUAUUUUUAAUAAUUUUAUUAAAAUUAUUAUGUAAAAAUUAUAUUUACUAAAUACUAUUAAUUUUUCUUUCAUUAUUUUAUAUAUAUAUUACGGUUUAAUCCCAAAUAGAACCGAAGUACUUGUGUUUUCCUUAGUUUUUCAAAUAUCUUCGUGCGCUUAAAUCUAUUCAUUGGAAGCCAGCAAUCAUGUGGUCUCAUGCAAGAUUCAUGGAUGAGUCUUCCAACUUGGGAUCUUUGGAUUGGGUUUCGCUCAAUUAUUAUUAUUUUGUUACAUUACCUUUUUCAUAGUUUUUUUUUUUCAUUUUAUUAUUACUAUUAUUACCAUUAUUAUUAUCACCACCAAAUGGCCUUCUUGAGUCCAAAUCAGCUCUCAUCUGUUUAAACGCACAAAACUAUGAAAAUAAAAACGAGAAUAUUAAUGUAUUUUAUUCUAAGAACACCCACAUUAAUUAAGUCUAAAAUCACCCUUUCACGGUCUAAAAUUAACUUCUUUACAAAUUUCCUGUUGGCCAAAAAUAUGCAUGAUGUUUCAGUCUGUUGAUGAAUCUGAGUUAAAAGAGUGUUAAAUCUUCCCAGGUUUAGUAAAAUGCAGAUUCAGAGACUUAACAAAAAAUUCGAAUUGGAACUUAUUAUCAUAACCAAUUCCAAGACGAUAGAUACACAACCUCAUCAACAUUGGCAAUACAAAAUAAUUAUUAACACAGAAAAGCAGAAUAACUAUGCCGCGGCAGAGAUAAAAAAGGGGGGAAAGAAAAAAGGUAGUACACAAAGCCGGUUUCUUACAAUAGUGCAACUACUAGUUACAAUAACUAAAAACUACAAACAUCAUAAAAAGUGACCAGCAAAGUGCUCCAUGAGAUCACUGUCAACAGCCUCAGUGUGUCCUCCCUGGCUAUAGGUUUAGGGACAACAUACAGAGUUUUGUGCCUACUUAACUGGUGACAUUGCACCCAAUAGCUGGCGGCAGGCAGAGUUUCUUCAUCAACAGGAGGAAUUGACCACUACAUCCUAAGAAUUGUAUGAAAAGUUAAUUAGUCAAUGAUAUACAUGAAGAUAAGAAAUCAGAUAAGAAAUCGAGAGAUUUUCUCUCUUGUAGAUACAUUCAGUGCAUCUUGGGGGCCCAAAAAAGGCAGAAGAAGCUUCUUCAAGACAAUAGAUCAAUCAAAAUGGUAGUAUAACAAUGAAUUGGAGAAAUAAGACAAUAGAUCAAUCAAAAUGGCUUCAAUAUUGACUAGAAGAUGCAAAAUUUCAGCCUAACACGAAAUAUAACAAAAUGUCUAAUGAGUCUGGCAGUAUAACAAUACGCUCAAAUUAUUAUGAGCAGAAAUUCAGUCAUAAAAAUAAUCAAACAGAAAAAGUAUUAUCUAUUAUGACAAAAGUAAUACUUGAGCUUCAUGAAUUACUUUGUAUAUUUAAAGAAGGUAUGUCUGUCCGCCGUACAAAGAAUCAGUUUGCAUAGAAGAGCAAUUCAUGAACAAGCAAAGAUUUGUUGCUUCCAACAAUAUCAUAUAAAACAUUAUCUUGAGAAAAUUCAUAUUUAUAACAACAAUAUGUGGCCCAACUAACAACUUCUGCAUGCGUGCGUGCCACAUGGAUAAAAUUACUAGCAUAAUUUUGGCAUAAAUAAUUCAUAUUUGUUGUCUAAUAAAUCAACAAUAACAAAAAUCAUAAGAAUCUCUGAAAACAUCAUAUUUCAUGGUAACAAGUUCAUGAAAAACAACAUAAGUGAGAUACUGACCUUUUACAGUGCCAAGGUUGGCAAUACCAUUCUUUUCCACUAAUCAACACGCUUUCAACAUCAUCCAAAAUAACCUCGGCAUUUCAGUGUUCCGCAUAAGCAUUUCUUUUUCCUGUGGGGUUCAUAAUUACCCCCAUCAGACUUGGAAAUCCCAUAAUCAUAUGUCAACUCUGUCAUGGGAGGAACAUGUCUCAUUGCAAAAAAUGCAACAUGGACGAAGGAUUCAUUAUUGUUUUCAAAUAUAAUCGGCUGCCAGAAAACAUUUGGAGAGCAACUGUGAUUCAUGAAUCGAGCAACAUUCCCAACAUUCUUGGCACUUAUGACUAGGGGAUAUGGUAAGUCAUAUUCCUCAGUAGUGUCACUAGGAUCAUCAUCUUCAAUUAACCCCGGUUCAUAAUUCCACUUGAAUGAGUCAUAAGUACGGGUUGUAUCAAAAACAUAAUCUUCAUUACUGCCUUCCCCAUCUUGCCUUGCCUUAAAUUUAUCUACUACUUCACCUGCAUAUUCACAAAUGAAAGUACCAGCACGAAUAGGAUCCAAAGAUCGCAGGCCCCAACCCCUAUCUUUCGUUUUAAACACAUCCAACCGAACUUUUAGACCAGUCUGAGACACUCUGUUUUUGCAGUCGCGAUUGCAUGGACAUGAUGGACCACAUUCAUAUAUCAACGGCUUCCGACUUACUAGGACCCCAUUAGCAGUAUAUGGAAAAUCGCCCCCAUUUUUCUGGACACAAGAGCAAUUUGGAUUGCCUGGGCCACAUGCACUAUAACAGUUGCAGCCGAAAGAAGGCUGAGUUAAUCUGAAUGAUUUAGAAUACUUAACAGUGGUGAGAUAAGUGAAAUACGCAGGCCCUUUCUCAUCAUCAACAUCAUUUAUAAGUGCAAUGGGUAUAGCCUCGGCCCCAGACGAAAGGUCUGGAAGAAUAAGUCCAACCCUACCAGACAUGCCGUCCUUCCACCUCUGAAUCAAUUUCCAAAGAGCAAAAGCACCAGGCUGCCCAGGUAUUCUAACCAAUUUAUACUUGAAAAUAUUGCAACCUGACUUCCCCUUUUCAGUCCACGACUCUUGAACCAUAUAGAGUCCAUCAUAUACGUAGACCUUUGAAGAUUGGUUAAUAGCAUCUUUCAUUCCCCGAAUGACUCUUACUUCACUGGCUCGGCGCAAGCUCCUUUCUAAUGCAAGAUUACCCCUUUCGAGCUUCUGAUCAGCUGCUUGCUCACCCUUCCUAUUAGCAUUCCCACCCUGGCCACUAUAUAUCAAUAUAUCACUAUCCUCAGCAUCGUCAUCGUAUCCUCCGGAUGAUAUAAUGCUUACAGCCACUGGUUCUUCGUCUAAAUCACUCCUUGUAAUCAUAUAAUCAAUUCCGGCCAUGGACUGGGAAUGCAAACCGAUCAAACACAUCUCCAUCCGAAAGAAGAAAAUAUCACCAAUUUCCACACCUGGAACAACUCCAAGCCUCUUCCUCAUAUUGGUACGUACUCCUUUGCUCAUCAAUAUAUUGCUUGCUUUCAAAUCCGCACGCCUAAUCAACCCAGUAGAAGUCUCCUUAGCAUCCUCAAUCUGACUAAUUCUUCUUCUAAGGGCAUCAAAUCUCAUCAGCACAUUAUUAACAACUUGCCUAUUACCAUCAUCUCGCUCAAAUGAACUAAUCCCCACAGAAAAAUCCGAGUCCUGAGCAUUCUUGGGCCUCUUCUGCUUGUAACUAGAAGCACGACGUUUUUUCCCGUCUAGAAACCCAUCCGAAGACCCCAAAUCACCAUUAGACCCAUCCACAAAAUUAACAUCCGGUGACCUAAAUGACCGAAUGGGGGUAGCAAACGACGUUGGAGGUGUCUGUGUGUUGUUGUUUUGGUUGUUGUCAGGAGUAAAUUCCGGCGUACUAAAGGGGUAAAAUGGAGAAAACCCAGGUGGGAAAGGGCCAAAAGGAGGUGCACAAACAAAAGGAGGUGCUUGAGGACUUGACGGUAACACAGGUCUCAAACUACGCAAAGGUUUUACAUCCAACACUUUUGUUUUGUCUAAAGGAGCUGAAGGAACAGUGCCAUCCAUCACUAAAACAACCUAACUCAAAAAACACACUAAACAAAGCUUAAAUUCAACAAACCCAGAAUUAAACGCACUAAAUCUUUCUUUUUUCACAAUCCCAUUUCCUUAAAGAAGCUCAAUUUUAAUUUUUUUUCUCUGCAAAAAAUAAAGAUCAAACAAGUUUUAAAUGGUCCUAAAGAACAAGCAACUUAAACUGUAAGAUCUAACUUACCGAACUGACAAAAAAAAAAAAUUUCAGAUUAAAAUUAAGAGUAUUAUUAUUACCUCUGGAGAUUGCAUGUACCGUUAGUUGCUAGGGUUUGAACUGAGAAAUGGGGGGACUUUGGCUGCUAAGUCCAUUGAAAUGAAAAGCCUGCUUGCUCUCCGCCCAAUGCGUUUCACCUUUUCUAGUCCGUCCACUUCGAACUUGUUCUUACACUGUGCACAAACACGUGCUUCAUUAAUGCAUUCUUAAAGGUUGUAGGUUUCUUAACUAAAUCCGAUAUGCUUAAUCCGUGGUCUAUAUAAAUUUAAUUUGUAAAAAUUUAAUUCGUAGAUUAGUGAAUUAAAUAAAUGAUGUGUUUAUUUGAGGGUUUAGAAUAUAAAAAUAAAAAAAUAGAAUAAAAUUGAUGUUUACUUGGUAAAAUUAGGGGUGGGCAAAAAAACCGUAGUCUUAAAAAAACCGAACCGAACCGACGGUUUUUUCUAAUUCGGUACGGUUUUUUUUUUAAAAAAAAACCGAACGGUACAAUUUAUAAAAAAACCGAAAUGUCGGUUCGGUAUUCGGUUCAUUUAACUGAACCGAAAAACUGAAUUAUUUUUAAAUUUUAUUAAAUUAAAUAUGUGUUAAUUUUUAACUGAUUGUGUAAGAUAGCUAACAUAAACUUGCAUACACACAAUCAGAGUAUAUAUAUAUGUUAGUGUUACAAUUUCGUAAAUUUUUAUUUCCCAAAAUAAACCCUAAAAUCAAAUAUUAAAAAAUUUCGUAAAUUUCGUAAAUUUCAAUUUCUUGAAGAAUUUUUUAGGCUAAUGCAAUCUUAAGAACAACAGCAAGUAGCUGAGGAGUAAAUGAUAGUUGAUUGAUGUUGCUUACCAGUAAGUUUUCUUUAUUUUUUUUUAAACUAGCAUCUUAUUAUAUAGAUUGUUUAUUUAAUUAUUUAUUAAUAGUUAGUAAGAUAUUAUUGAUAAAAUGUGUUUUGAAUACUUUGUAUUUAUUGUUAAUAUUUGUAAUGAAAUUAGGAUGAACUUGUUGAAAAAAAUUAUUACAUUUAUGAAGUCCAAUGGGCUAAAAAUUUAAAAAUUCAAAAUAUGCCCAGAACCGAAAAAACCGAACCGAACCGAAAAGAACCGUUUGAGUUCGGUUCUUUUUGAGUUCGGUUCUUAUUCGGUUCUUUUUAUAAAAUAACCGAUUUAAAUCGGUUCUACUUAAUUUCGAACCGAACCGAACCGAACCGAACCGUGCCCACCCCUAGGUAAAAUAUAAUUUAGAAAUAUGAAUAAAAUAUGUGGGUCUCACACAAUUUAAGAAUAAAGAAUGAGAAUCUCAUUUCCAUGGGAGGUUGGUAAUGGGAAUUAUUAUUCCCUGAACUGAUUUUUGUAUCCCUCUAAUUUUUUCAUAUUUUCUAAAUUACCCUCGUUCAAAUUACAAUUAAUUUUAUUAUUUUAAAUGUUAUUAUUAUUAUUAAUUUUAUUUUUUAAUUAAUAACAUUUUUAUAAUGAAUAUUUAUACAUGUAUUUAGUUAAUGAAAAUUAUAUUAUUUAAUAUAUGGAUAUUUUGGUAAAUUGAUUCUCAUUUACAUUUCUCAUUCCCAUUUAUUUUGCUAAGUAAACACAUCAAUGACAUUCUAGUACAUUCACAUUCUCAUUUAUUUUUGCCAAGUAAACAUUAAAAUCUUAUUUUCAUUCCUUAUUAUGAUUCCCAACCCAUUCACAUUCCAUCCAAUUAUCAUUCUAUGAAGUAAACGCACCAUAAAUUAAAGAUUUAAAAAUCUACUAUAGGUGGAUUAGAUAUAAAUUUAAUUAUGUAAAUCCGCAAAAAUUUGCGAAUCCGCAAAAAAAUUUAUCUAAUAAAAAAUUAAACUUGUAAAUAUGGCAUUAGUACUUACUAAUAAAUAAAUAAGUUAUAAUAUAGUUAUAUUAAGACCAUAUUAUAUCUUAUCAGAUAAUAAUAUAAAAUGAAAAUAAUUAAAUAAACAAAUAUAGCUUAUUAAGUAGUUAAUUUUCAUGUACUAAUAUAAACAAACGAGUUUUUUUCUUUUUAGUGUGUUAUAUUUUAAAACUUUGAAAGUAUUUUCUAACUUUAUUUAAACAAUUAAUUAAUUUAAAUCUCAUUUAAUCUUAAAUUUGACAGGUAGGAAAAUUAUUUUUAUAUUAAUUUUUUUAUUUAGUUAGUUCGUGGAUAGAAUAGAAUUAAAAAUUUUUAGCCCGCAAACCAAUUCGCAAAAUGGUAGAUUGGAUAUGGAUUGAGUCAAAUCCGCAUUCGUUCCGCAAACGUAUGGAUUGGAUUUGAAUUGAAUUUCACUAAUUUGUAAAUUAGAUUGGAUUAAAAAUUUAUAUCCGCAAAAUUAUAGAUCGGAUAUAAAUUAAUGUCCAAUUCGUAAAAUUUGAUAUGCAAACACCCCUACUUAAGGUCUCUAACUCUCUUUCAGUCCUAAUUUUUGAGUAAAUUAUGGUGUUCUCGCAAUUAUUUUUCAUCUAUUUCAUAUAGGUCCUUACUACCGGCUAUUGUAGUGGAUACCCAUUUUGCCCAUCCAUAUUCCUACGGAUCUUCAAAACUUGAGAAUGCUUUGGGCUUGGACAACAUUUUAGUUUUGGGUAUGAAAUUGAUUUUCAUACUUAAGAAAUUAUAAUCCACAAUUCAAUCGUCUAAAGGACUGAAAUGAUUGAAUAAACGAAUUGAAGCAAUUUUUGAUAUGAUCCAAUCUGUUUAAAUUCAAAUUUGAAUUAGAACAGAAAAAAGGAAUCAAUCAAGGUUUGAGUAAUUAUUGUGAUGUAAAGCGGAAGCAAUAUUAAAUUUUAUUCUAGCGUACGUCUUGAAAACUCAAGAAAAAGGGCUCUCGCAAAGGAAAAAAUAUAUCAAUUGAGAAAAUACUGAAUAUUAUUGAUUGAGAAGCUUAUGUAAAGAAACAAGCAUAACAAGCCUAUUUAUACUAGUUAGAAUUAUCAUAUUCCUAAUAAAAUUAUGAUUCCUUAAAAGUAAAGGAAAGGAAUAUGACUUAAAUAAAAAAUAAAAAAUUAAAUCCUAAUCAAACAAAAAAAGGAAAUUAAAUUUAUACUCCUACCAUGACUCGAGUGUCCUACAUCAGUCUCCUCUCUUUAGAAGAACUCGUCCUCAAGUUGACUCAAUGAUAUGGCAAUCAUGCAGGUCCAUGAUACUUGAACAAAUCUUGAACAUUGAAAGUCUUGGAGAUAUUAUGGUUUGUUGGUAGGUCCACGACAUAAGGAUUGUCAUUGAUUUUCUAAAGAAUGCAAAAUGAUCUAAUCUUCUUUUUCUUGAGCUUAUUGUAUUCUCUAAUAGGAAAUCUAUCCUUUUGUAGAUGAACCAUCACUUGAUUUUCUACGGCAAAGGUUUUGAAGCGCCUAUGCUUAUCUACAUUUGCCUUGUACUUAGUAGCAAAUUCUUCUAGUUUCUUCUUGAUUUCCUCAUGAACAUUGAUUACUUUGUUUACCAUAUGAUCAGCAAUGAUGCUCAUUCCAGGUAGUUUAGGCAAAUGCACUAAAACUAGGGCAUGUAAGUGAGGUUUAAUGCAGACAAUCUCAAAAGUUGACUUUCCACUUGAUCGAUUGGGCACAUUAUUAUAAGUGAACUUUGCUUGAGGUAGAAGAUAAUCCCAUUGGUGGGGAUUUGCCUAAUGUGCGAUUAACAACUUUAGUUUGCCCAUCUGUCUGUGGGUGACAAGUACUAUUAUAUUUGCAAGGAUGUAUCUAGUCUCCUCUAUAAGGUCUUCCAAAAGUAACUUAGAAAUUUACUAUCGAUCAAAGACAAUAGUCUUAGGUAAUCCAUGUAAGCGAAAACCUCUUGAAAGAACAAUUGUGCAAUAUUCCUCGCGUCAGAAGUCUUCUUGCACGGAAUGAAGCGCACCAUUUUAGAAAAUCGAUCAACAACCACCAAGAUAGAAUAUGUUCCUCGUUGAGUUCGUGGAAGUCUUAAUAUGAAAUCCAUAGAUAAAUCUUCCCAAGGAGCCUCAAGAAUAGGGAGAAGAGUGUAUAAACUCGUAUUUUGUGCAUGGCCUUUAGCUAUUUGACACGUGGAGCAACGUUUAAUGAACUUCUCAACAUCUCUUUUAAGAUGUGGCCAAUAGUAUCAUGCUUCUACUAAUGCAAUGCUUUUAUCUCGGCCCAUAUGUCCUCCUAAUCCUCCGCUAUGUAGAUCUCGAAUUAUAUGCUCCCUUAAAGAUCCUUGGGGAAUGCAUAGGUGAUCUCCAAAGAACAGGAAUCCAUCAUGUAUCUAAUACUUGCUUGAGGCUCUUGAGGUACAUUUGUUCUAUCCUUCUUUAAAAUCUUCAUAAUUUGCAUAGAGAUCUUUUAGGUAUUCAAAACCAAUAAUUUCACUCUUUACUACGGUGAGAAAAACUACUCGGCGACUCAAAGCAUCAGCUACCUUGUUCAAUUACCCUAACUUAUGCUUAAGAGAGAAGGUAAAUCUUUGGAUGUAGGCAAUUUAUUGAACAUGUAUGAUUGACACUAAAAAGUGUAAUUUAAUAAGGAUAUAAUUAUUAGUUUUUCAUUUAUUGUAUCGAUUAAUAUGCUCAUUAUUUCUAAAUUAUCUUAAUACUCCCCAAAUAUAUUUUUAUGUUAAAUUAAUUCGUAAUAUGCUAAUUUUUAUCUUGUAAAUAUUUUUCAAGAAUAAAGAUGGAAUUGGAAUUGAAAUUGAAAGUAGGAACAAAGAAGGAUUGUUGGAGUAAUUUGGAAUGCAUUAUUAAGGAGAUGAAAUAAAUAAAUACUAAAAAAAAAUAAAAAGUAAAAAAAUAAAAAAAAGGAAGAAGAGAGCAACAAUGCUCGUGAUGGUCAAGUGGCCAUCUUGGCCACCUGACCGUCAUACCUUUCAAAAAGAUAUAUAUUAUAAAAUAAAAUAAAUAAAGAAUUAUGCAUUCCUUGCCUAUAUAAUUCCAAUCAUACCCUAUCGACUUGUUGAUAGAAAGUCUUACCACUUACCGGUUGAACUUGAACAUAAUUUAUUUUGGGUCAUUAAAGCUUUUAAUUCAAAUCUUAAUGAUGCCGGUAACGUGCGUAAAUUGUAAUUCAAUGAACUAGAGAAAUUAAGGAGUGAUGCAUAUGAUUAUUCCAGAAUUACUAAGGCAAGAAUUAAAGUUUUUUUAUGACAAAAGAAUUUUUCGGAAAACAUUUGAAAUUGGUCAAAAAGUGUUGCUUUAUAAUUCUCAUCUUUAUUUGUUUCCAGAGAAGUUAAAAUCAAAGUGGAAUGGUCCAUUUAUUGUAAAAAAUGUGUAUCCAUAUAGAGCCGUAAAAAUUGAGAAUCCAAAGGAUGGUGUCACAUUUAAAGUUAAUGGUCAAAGAUUGAAGUCAUAUCUAGAAUACCAACCAUGUGAAGCAAACAUCAAAAUCAAUUUGAGUGACCCACCAUAUCUUGAUUAAGCAUUUUUUUCAACUUUUUGUGAUUUUGUUUUCCUAUUACUUCAUCGUUUGAAUUGUUUGAUUUUUUUUCUUUUCCCUAUGUCUUGAAUGAAGUGCAUUACGUUAUUUCUUGUUUAAGUGUAUUGUUUGACAAUUGUGCUUUAGCUCACCAUUUUUUAUACAUGUCAUGAGUACCUCCAUGAGAAUGAUCAUUUUGAAACAUGUUAGAGAGCUUUUACAUGAAAAAUUUCACUUGAGGAACUUGCUCUGAUUCUGUAAAUCACAUCUUAUUUGGGAUCUACAACCACCAAAGUUAGUAUCCCACGUUAAAGAUCUAGAAAGACAACUCAAAGAAAUAGAGGAUUGUAUUUAUGAUCUGCAAUUGGAAUUAGAGGUAAAUUCAAUAAAAUGACGAAUGUGAGUUAUAUUCAUUCUGUGUUUUUAUUUUUUUCUUCUUUACUUUGAUUUGAUUUUACAGAUUUGAUUUGUUUCUUUGAUUUAUUUUGAUUCACUCUACCGCGUAAAUAGUGGAUAACGGUGCUCCGUAACUUUUAAGUCGGUAUUUUUAGUUUCCUACAAUAAUUGAACCCCAAAAUCAAGGAUGGAAUAAAUACAACAUAAACUGCAUAAGUGUUUUCCUUCUCUCCCUCAAAAUGCUCUUAAGAAGAUUUACAAAGCUCGUUGUGAACGACUACGUUUGUUAAUAAUCAAUGUAAUUCCUACUGACAUUCGUUGGUUAAUUAAAGCAAAUGUCCGACUGACAAGUGAGUUUUCUAAUCCAUUUAUUUUCUACAUGCCUGGUUUUGAUAAAAGUACAUUUGGUAAAAAAAGAAUAGCAAAGCGGCUUGGCUCUAAAUGUCCUAAUUGUGUAAGGCUUACUUGCAAAAAACCACGUUGUAAAACUUUAAGAAUGAUUUUUGUAAAUCGUGAAGAUAAAAAUCAAAUUCAUUAAAGAUGACAUGAGUAAAGAAUUGUUGGAUGAUAUCUUACGAUCCGUACAUCCGCCUUGGCCGUACAGCAGUCAUAAUAUAAAAAAAAAGAGAGGAUAUGUAUAAAUAAAUAAAAUGAAAAAAAAAGAAAAGACUGCUGUACCGUACAUCCGCCUUGGCCGUACAGCAGGUUACUGGACAUAAAACUAGAGGAAGAUGUAAGCCACAAUCACAACUACUAGUAAAUAUCCUUUUAUUUUAUCUUUUGCAUUAUUAUUAUUAUUAUUUUGUGUGUGAUUUUAUAUGUAAUCAUUGUUUGCUUUUUCUUUUCACUGUUUGCCUUUGAAUUAUUGAGCCAAAAGCUUCACCCGUCAUUUGACAAACACAUCAUCCCAUUUACAGAUGUGUAUCAUUAUGUCCGUCACCAAGAUCCUUAAAUAGGAGCUUUUUUUCAAGCACCCACAAAUUGUUUCUUUUUUAGAAUUGUUCUAAUGGCAACAAUUUCAAGCAGACAACUUAAGAACAUUUGUGUGUUUUUUGAAUUUCGUUAUGAAAAGUAUAAGGAGUUCGUUCAGACAGCCAUAGAUCUUGGUCGUGCUGUAGUAGAGAGACAACUACAUCUUGUAUAUGAAGGAGGUGAUCGAGGGUUAUCAAAAUUUGUUUCUGACGCUACUUUCGUUUGAGGAAGCCAAGUGCUAGGUAUUAUUACAAAAGCCUUAAAACCUUUAAGAUAUCUACCAGACCCACCAAAUGGAGAAAAAUUAGUUGUCUCAUACAUGUAAGAAAGAAUAUCUAAAAUGUUAAAUCAUGCUGACACUUUCAUUUUCUUGCCAGGAGAUCGUGCAACUUUAGAGGCACUAAUUAAAUUUGCUUCUUUGGCCCAUUUGAAUAUCCAUGAAAAAUUCAUCGGUUUGUUAAAUAUUAAUUAACUUUUAUGAUGACUUAAUAGCAUUUCUUAAUCAUGUUCGACCCUCAGCGAAAAAAUCUUUAUUUGUGCUCCUACUGUCAACGAGUUACUUGAUCUUUUGCAAGCUCACAAACUAGAGCCAGAUCUCAUGACUUUGACGUUGGAUUGGGCAACUGAUGAUGAUGGCAGUAACCCUCGUAAAAAGUGUAAAUUAGAUUUAACUAUCUAUUUAUAAAUAUUUUCCAGCAAUGGCCAGAUGAUGUCUUCUGAAUUCUACUCCUUUCUUUUUUAGACAUUGUGGACAAUGUUUCCUUCAGGUUGGAGGGAGGGAAUAGUUGAUAGUUGUGGAUUGUCUAAAUCAUGGUGAUGUUUUUACUAAUUUUUGUUGUAAAGACUAACUUUGAAUAAAAAUUUGAGUUGAAGAUAGCAGAAUAUAGAAUGUAGUGUCUCUAGAAACGUAUCUUCUUAAUUUUAGUAUUUUGUUUAAAAAAAUUAUUUUCUAACUUCUUUUUUCUUUCUUUUUCUCUUAAUCACCUCCCUUAAGUUUAUGCAAUCAAUUCCAAUUUUUUAGUGUCUUCUUUAGCUAAAAAAAAAGAGUUUUAUUUUUCGAUGUGAUCUUUUAACAUUGGAUAACAUGAUGAUUUUCAAAUUUUUUUAUUUGUAUUAUCUUUAGUCUUGAGUUAUGUUACACUAUGUUUUCCCCUAUGCAUGUUGAAACGUAAAUUGAGAAAUUUGAUGAGAUUAAGGCAUUUCAAGGAAUCCAUAUGUUAUGAAAAGUUCAAGUGAGUUUUUGAACAUAUUAUCAUUAGAGAGUAACCAUGUUUGUCUAUACAGCUUAACAAUUUAUUGUAUAAGAUCUCUAUAUUUUCUUUAAAGUUAAAAAAAAGGUGAAAAAAAGAAAGUUUGUGCAGUCGCAUCUAAAAGUCCAUUGAACUAGUGGAUAUGAAAAUUAUUUAGAGUCCUAAAAGAUGACAGAAGGUCAUCUUUGAUCCGUUUGAGCCUUUCUAGCCAACCCUAUUAUAAAGUAUCCAUAGUUCACCCCUUUGAGCCUUAAAAAAAAUUUUUUCUUUGAUAAUCUAUCAUCUUAUCCCACUUCAAUAUGGAGUAUCACCUUAUGUUUUAUAUUUUUCACCACCCAAUUAUGUUUAAAAAUAGGGAUGAUUAUGUAUUCAUAAUAUAAAAAAAAAGAGAGGAUAUGUAUAAAUAAAUAAAAUGAAAAAAAAAGAAAAGAAAAAAAUUCCAAGCACCUUGUAAUCUAAAAAAAAAUCUCCUAUUUUUCAAACAUAUAUUUUUAUUUUUCCUAUUACCCUUUUUUGUUAGCCAUGACCCUAGCUUACAUUAUGUCCUAAUGAAAGUCUUUCUCGAUUUUAGGGAACUAUAGUCUGAAGUAAAAACUAGUAAUAUGAACUAAAUGAUGUGGUGAUGCAUAAAAAUAAAAAUAUAUUUUGCUAGUAAUUCCUUGCACUUGAGAUCAUUUCAUUCUAAGUUGUGGGCAUUAUUUUUUCAUCUUGGUGAGAGCGUGUGGCAUUAUUUUACUAUUUUCUCAAUUUACUACGUUUUAGAGUGACAGUCUUUCUGGGGUAUACUUUUUUUUUUAGAAAGUCACACUUAACAGUGAAGUUUUGGGGCUUGACAUAUUUUUCUUAAAAGUGGCUUGAUUAAUGUAGCUAUGAUAAUUGAUCAUUUUAUAUGAUUUUACUUAACUGAUUUAUGUGGGUGUGAUUUUCUCUAGACUGAAGAUAAUGCGUAUACUUUUAUUUAAUUUUUUUCAUUAAUAUGAUGAAAGUAGUAAACACAAUUUUUUUUAAAAAAAUUCAAUUUGGUUUUGAAAUUUCGCUAAAUUUUAAUCUCUUAAAUUGCUAGGGCCUAGCAAACGAAAUAAAGUUUGUACAUAGUCAAGAGGUAAAAAUCUUUUCCUUAGGAUGUGAUGCAUGCGAUACCAUGUCUUGACCUUUUAUUUUCCUUGUGGCACACAAGAAGUUUGUAUAUUGUUCUACCAAACUGCAGCAGUGCCUUUAAGUUUAUAAGCUACUAUCUUGACUUUCUUUGAUUCCGAAAAGUCCAUUGUUUCAAAAAAUCGUUCAACAUCUGAUAACCAGUCAAGAAAGUCUUCAAUGCCUAGUUGCCCAUUGAAUGAAAGGAGAUCAAUUUUGAUGUGAUAGUCAAUCUGAUGCGUUUCUCAUCGCGCAUCUUCUAUCUUCUCUUCAUUUGAAUCGUCGAAACUUGGAAAAGGUGGAGAAGCUUUUGUAUUCCUACUGGAGCUACAUAUUUCCUUUAUUCAAUUGGUCUUCUUUUGCUCACUAAAAUUAUUUCCUAACUCAACAAUGUCAAUACCCUUUGCAUCUUGAUUACCUCUUUGGGCUAGUCUAAUCUCUUUUAAUUCUUAUAUCACGUCAAGUAAUGAUUCUUCUAUUGCCGUAAUAAGAGUUUGUAUUGACUAUAGGAUUGUCAUUAUUUCGCGCCAUGCUUCUCCUGAAUGAGUUUGGGAUUGUUCGAGUCGCUCUAUCUCUUUUGUAAUUCGAGCCUUAAAUGAAGUACUGCUUUCUCUAUAAACCAUUUUUUUGGUGAAUUUUCUUUUUUUUUCUUUUGUUUUUUUUUUUUGGGUAUUUAAAAGAACUGAAAUUUAUAGGGUAAUAAUGUAAUUUAAGAAAAGUAAUGGGACAAAAUUAUAAAUAAGCAAACAUUUGUGUUGUCGGUGAUAGUGUUUGGAAAAUUGGGCUAGGAUAGGUGGAUUUGAAAGAUUUGAUGGUGUUGAGGGUGAUGGUGGUGUUGGUUUGUCUCGAAUCGUUGUAGAUUGAUCGGAAAAUUGAAUUGAAUUUGCGAUUAGGGGUUGGUUUCGAUUUCUAGUGAACCGGCCAGCGGUGAACAGCGGGAGUGGGCUGGAAUGGUGGGCCUGAUGAUGGUGAACGAAUUGCUGGUGGUGGAGGCUGGUGAAUCGAGGUAGGUUACGGUGGAUCGACUGGGGUUUCGUGCGGCAGUUUGGUAGCAGUUUUGGUGUGUUUCUGGUGGCUAAAGCGGCAUAUCGAUGGUAAGAUGGUCCGGUUUUGAUGAUCGGCUUCUUCUGGUUCUAAUGGUGGUGGAGGUUGACAGAAAAGAUAAAGAACGGCGUUGACGAUAGCCAAGCACAAGGGCAGUGACGGUGGUUUUGGAUUUUGCUGGGUUUAUAAUGUUUUUUUUUAACUUGAUGGAAUUAAUGGAUGGUGGGGGAGGGAUAUGUGAAUGAAGGGUGGUUGGCGAUUAGGAAAGUUCUGCUUGCUACAGAGAAAGACUCUAAUAUCACUUGUCGUAAAACAGAAGUGAUACUAGAUUUCGUUAUAACGUACGUCUUGAAAACUCAAGAAAAAUGGCUCUCGCAAAAGAGAAAAUAUCUCAAUCGAGAAAAUACUGAAUAUUCUUAAUUGAGAAAUUUAUAUGAAAAAACAAGUACAACAAGUCUAUUUAUACUAAUUAAAAUUAUCUUAUUUAUAAUAAAAUUAUGAUUCCUUAAAAGUAAAAGAAUACGACUUAAAUAAAAAAAUAAAAAAAAUUAAAUCUUAAUGGAACUAGAAAAAAGGACAUUAAAUUUAUACUCCUACUAAGACUAGGGUGUCCUACAUCAUACUGCCACGCUUUUCUUGUUGUUUAUUUUUUCAUGAUUCAAUUAUGAAACUUAAAAAGGUAAUAAGUAACUUAAUUAAACAAAUUCUCAUAAUAAACCAAUGAAUCAUAUAAGAAAAUAUGAAUUAGUGAACUCAACUAUUUGUUUCAUUUAUUAAAUGAGAUGAUGAAGAUUCAACUCAUUAGCAACAUUUUUGUUAUUACUUUUAAAUUAAAAAAAGCACACUAGAAUUUCAUUAAACCGAAAAUAGAUUAUAUGAUAAGAGAUGGACUUAUUAUGCAUUUACUUGGGGGAUUGGGUGAUUGGAAUUUAGAAUGAGAAUAAUUGAUGAUUUUUACUUGUUAAACUAAAAGUGAAAAUCAUAAUGAAACAUGUGAGUCCACAUGUUUUCUGAAUUAAAGAAUAAGUACUUGAUUCUAGUGAAGGCUUGAGAAUCAAGUUCUCAUACUUUCACCUAUAUUUCAUAAUUCUACUUUUGUCCUCAAUUAAACUACUAUUAUAUUAUUGUUAUCGUUUUUAUUCUUAUUCUUACAAUUGUUGUUAAUAAUAAUGAUGACGAUGAUGAUAAUUUUAACCAUAAUAAUAAUCAUUAUUACUUUUAUUGUUAAAACUAUUAUUAUUAUUAUUAUCAACAUUUAUUUUGAAUAAUAAUAGUAAUCAAAAUUAUUAUAAUAAAUAAUGAUAAUAAUCAAUGAAGGUCGUUUUAUUGACUUCAAACAAUCUAUCUAAUUUCAAAGCAAAGUAAACAUCGAUGAUAUUAUAGUUCAUUCCAAUCUUGAUUCCUACGGAUAAAGUAAAUGAUUUAUUCUAAUGCAUAUUCCCUAUUUGGAUUCCUAGAGAAGACAAAAUCAUCCAUGGGUUUGGAGCCCAAUGGGGCCCUAUCCCAAAUAGGGUGAAUUUUGAAUAAUUUUUUGGAAUGAGAUGGGGAAUGAAAGAAAAACAAUCUCGAAAUUCUAAAUAAGGUGGGGUUUGGUUUUGUACUUCUCACCCAUCCUCACCUCAAUCCCCAUUAUAUAUGAAUUUUUUUUUUAAUUUUUGUUCAAUUAUUUUUGCUUUAUCAAUUUUCAUGUUGGUUAAUAAUUUUCUUUUCAUUUAAUAUAAAUAUGUUAUAAUUAAAAGAAAACCCUACGUUAUAAUUUUGAUUCAACCCUAAAGUGUGAUGUUUUCUUUUAACUCUCAAGGUGCUGCUCUCUUCAAAUAUUUUUUAGUGUUGAUAUUAUUUCAAGAUAUUAUUUCAACUUUUUAGUGAUUUUUUAAAUCAUUUAUAUAGUUUAUAAUAUGAUAAUAAUUUUAGUUAAGUCUAUAAUUUUUAAUUUACUAAAAUUAUUUAUUUGUGCUUACUAUAAAAUAAAUAAAUAAAAAAUAGAUAUGAGAUGAGAAAAUCAUUCCCCACAUGAUAAAGUUUCUUAGGAAGAUAGAGGACGAAACAAUCAAUUUACUCUUUGUUCUUAGCAGUUGUUGGUUUUGAGUUUGAAUGCUUGGAGAUUAUGAUAAAGUUUGAUAAGCCCUCACAAGAAUCUCUAAAAAUAAACUUCCACGAUUAUAAGGGAGUAAUGUAUUGACUAACUCAAUCAAAAUUUGGUGUAUUUAGUAAUUUGAGUUAUUAAUAAAUCUGUAAUUAAAAUAAAAAAUGUUGAUGGGGUUUGAUGAGAUACAUGAAGAGGAUCGAAUAGCACACUCAAAAACAUAUUUUAAUAAAUUCGGCCCAAUAAAUUAAAAAAAAAAAAACAAAUUUUGUUCUUCGUAGCAAAAUAAAUAAUUGUAGGAGUUGGAAUUAUAAAUUCCAUAUCCAUCAAGCAUCAUGCUUACGUGUAGUCACGUGAUAAAUGUCAUAAACUUGUCAUCCAGUGAAAGGACAUCUGACAUAUGUCGAAAUCGACAACUGAACUACGGUACCAGGUUCCAGGAUGUGGCAAAUUAUUGCCUUAUUGGCACCAAAAUGAUAGAAGUUUGGUGACUUUACUUGAUGAAUUUUAUAAAAAAACAAUGAUCUUCUUUUCUUCUCUUCAUGAAAAAUAUAAAUUUUAGGACUUUUUAAACAAUAAAUAUAACUUUUUUUCAUUGUAAAUAUAAAAAGAUUACAAAAUAUGUUCUUGUAUAUAUGAUGUUGUAAAUACAGUUAAUGGUAUUAUACUUAAUAUCAAUUUACAAAUUUAUGUUAUUUUAAAAAAUAUUUAUUUUAUUUAUAAUUUUAAAACACUAAUUUAUCAUUUUUAUAUUAAUUUACGCAUUUUAACUUUUAUUUACUAAUUUUAUAUGUAAUUUAUAAAUUUUAUGUUUAUCACGACAUUGAUGCCUUAAUUUUAGUAACGGCGUCAAAUAAUUUUCCUAUAAUUAAACAAAUUGGCACUAAGGCAUUAGCUAUUAGUUGAGGUCGUAAGUUCAAAUCUUUAGUAAGACAUAAACCAUAUCUUCUUUCCACAAAGGAGGCUUAACACGUAUUCUCUUCAAUAAAUAUGGGUAAGGAUAAAUAUCUUCCCAAAUAUAAUUAGGGAUAGAAUCUCAAAUUACUCUUGGUAGAUCUCUAUAUUGUACUAUAUAUUUUAGAUCUCUAUAUUGUACUAUAUAUUUUAACCAAUUAAAAAAAAUUAGUUGAACAAGUUAAUAAUAUCAUUUUGACAAGCAAGAAGGAAAAAAAAAUGAAGGUACCAUAUUUAUUAUCUAUAAAAGAUAAUUACACCCAAUGUGAACACAAUGAAUUCAAACUUUAUAAGUUAUGUAGUGUUUAUUUUUUCAGCACCAAUAUUCACACAAAGCUAAGCACAAAGCUUUGCACAAAAUGGUUCGUUUUGUGAAAAGUAUAAAAGCCAUUUACACUUGCAAGCAACAUCACCACACACGCACGGAUCAAAUCCUCUAGGAGUGCAGCAACGUUUCUCCUGUCUCUCUCUCUCUCUCUCUCUCUUGCAUUCUCCCUCUUUUAUCCCCCACCACACAGCAGUGCAGCAAUCAUACUAAUGCUCAUGAUGUUACGAAUGAUACAAAGCUUCCCAUUCAAAGGAACAAUUGCUGCAGUCCUUGGCGAGUUGGCAAUCAUAAGCAAUUUUGAAGAAUCCAAUCCAACCAAACUGAGAAGGUCCCUAAUGUAAGAACAAAAUUCAAGCAACCAUAAGCAAAGCGAUCAACAUUAAUCACCAUAUUAAUAUAUGCUCUGUAAAAUAAUUUGAAGACCACGAUAUCCUUAACAAGAACAAUAACCAUUCAAAAUCUAUGAGGCCUCAAAAACAUAUUAAUUCAUCUUUAACAAUUAAGCAGUCUGCAUCUUUAAUUACAAAUUAAUCUUUAAUCAAUUAAGCCGAUUGUGUUGGGGGAUAGAGAGCGAUGCAGCUGCAAUCGAGAGAAUGAGGGACAACGGAGCUGAGAGAGUGAGGAAGAUCGGAGCCGAGAGAGUGAGGGAGAUCGGAGCCCAGAGAGCCAGCUAGAUGCUUCAAGCGAGAGACAAGAGAGCUGUCACUGUUGCUGCGUUGUGAGGGAGAACGGAGCUGAUAUCGAGCUUGUGUAUACACGGGAGAGUGUUGUUGUGUGGUGGGGGAGAAAAGAGGGAGACGAGAGAAAGAGAUGGGAGGAACGCAGGAUUUGUUGCGUUCGUGUGUGGCAUUUUGCUUGCACGUGUGAAUGGCUUUUAUACUUUGCACAAAACGAACCGUUUUGUGCAAAGCUGAAUAAGGGUUUGAGUGUCUUUUUUGAAACAUUAGGGAGUUUUGUGUCCUUUAUUCAAACGUUGGGGGUCUCUGUGUCCUUUUUCCUUUUUUUUUUCUUUGAAAUCUAAAUAGACUUGAUUUUAACUAAAGUUUGAAUAAGUUUGAAUAUAAAUGUUUGAACGCCAUAUUUAUUCUUCUUUUUUUAAUAUCUGAAUAAAAGUUGUGUCUUAAACAUGGUUAUUUAACAUUUAUGCCUGUGCAAGCCAAAAAAAUAAGAAAUUAAGUUUUAUGGUUUAGGAAAUAAGUAUAUUUUUAGUUCUUAUUCAGUAGUUACAAAAAUUUAUUUUUCUAUUCUGAUGUAAAUGUUUGAAAAUCAGACACAAAUUAUAAAAAAAAAAUUAUAAUAAAAAAUUAAUAAAUUUUUAGACUUUAAACAAAUAACAAACAAACUGUUAAUAAUAAUCUUCGUUAAUUCUGUUAAUUUUUUUUUCAAGGUUUAGGGGACAGGACUGAAGACCCUCUCAAAAGCCCUAAUUUAGUUCCAAUACUCAUCACAUUAACAUAGGAGCCCAUGUGAGCAAUGGGCCCCGCAAAGUCUUUUUUUCCCCCCAAAAAAAUAUAUUUUUUUUAAAUUUCAACCAUAUUUUUAUUUGCCUCCGUAGGAUUUGAUUAUUUGUGGGGAUAGAUUUUCGAUCUAAUACUCAAUAAACGCGUGCACUGCAUUACAACUACAAGUAAAUACAUAUAUUUAGAAUUUUAAUAAAUUUAAAAUUGUAAUAGAUUUAUAAAAUAUUAUCAAGUUCAAUAUCUAUAUAGUUCUUUCAUAGUGAGAACAUCAUUAGUUUAAGUAAAAUAUAAAAAAAAAAUCAUAUAUCAAUAUAUUAAAAAAUGUAUUUUUGUAUCUGUUAACGUAUUAAAAUUUAUUUAUUUUUAUAUUUUACUGAUAUUUUCAUUUUAAGAAAAUGAAGUAUGUACUCGUUUCUGUUAUUAUAUGAUAAAAACACAAACAAAUCAAACGUAUCUGAUAUGCAUAUUGAUACAUUACUUGCGUUGUAAGCCCCACAACUGCUACAUCUCCCAAACUAGCUGAUUGACCAUCCUGACAUCCUGUGGCUCAAAAGGCCUUAUCGAUUUUGUAAUAACCAAAAAAGACAACAAUCAUCAGUCCCUUUCAAAUCCAACCUUCAGAAAUUGCAGAAUCAGGUGGUUGAUUUCAUGGCGGGCGGUGGUGGUGAUGAAGAGCCUUCUCUUCAAAAUGUGGAAACUAAACCACACAAUCACACAUGUGGUUCCUCGCAAAUGCCAAAUCCCAAAUCCCAAACGAGAGGUCAAGACAAAUAAAAAAUAAAAAAAUUGUCAUUUUGUAAAUAGAUGCGGAUCGUACAUUUUGUUUUGAUUCGGGCAAGGGGACAAAACUACGUUACAGAAUCUGUAAGGUACAGACUGCAGCAUCAGCCGUUGGAUGUGGUUGGAUGUGGAGUGAGAAACUAAACAAAAGAAAAUCAGAUGGUGGGAUGACGGGAGAUGUUUGUUACAGAGUCUGUAACAUAGACAGGUCCCGGGCAAGGCCGUAAGCCCGUAACGUCCUAAUAUUAUAUAAUUGAUUAAUUAAUAAGGUGGGACCGUUUCUGUCGCUCUCAAGUCUCAAUCGUCUGUUGUUUGGCCCCGGUGCAGCGAAUCGAUAAUGAUGCCCCCACUCGGCAACAAUAUUUUCGGUGAAGUUAAAGAGAUGUUAUUCCAAAGUCCAAACGCUUUCUUUUUCAUUUACGUCACCGUUUUGAAUAGAAGUAGAGAUAGGUAAUAUUUGGUAUCUCUUCAAUGUAUUGAAAUAGUCAAACAGAGAUCUCGUCGUUUCGUUGACAUCAAUUUUUAAAUUAUGCUCCAUAAAUGUCUGAUGGAUGUCGAGAAAAGUGAAAAAUUUAAAUUUAAAUUCAAUCUGUUCAACUACGUAACAAAGUGGUAUCACUUCUUUUGUCUUUUAUGAUAAAUUUUCAUAUAACUCCUUUCACUCAUUUUAAUUUAAUAUUUAUCUCAUAAGUAUUAAAUUAAUUUUUAUUUGUAUCCAUAAAAACAUUUCAGUUAGCACUUUACACUAUUUCAUAUUUUUCAAUGGCCGCAUCAAAAUAACCCACCUCCAAUGGCAUAGCCCUUAGUUUCUCUUUGAAUUCCGGCUUAAAACCCUCAUCGUAUAGCUAAAAUAUCUCUUUCAAUCGAACAUCGGUAAUAAUGAAUCUCAAAGCAAUACGAUGAACUUUUUCAUCAAUUUCAAACUUCUACGAUCAAUUCUAAUAAUGGCUCGUCUUUGGAUUACAGUUCUACAUUUAUGGGAUCGGGGAUUUCAGAUUCUAAUGCUUAUACAUAUGACGAUGAUGGUGCUGAUAUUUUUGGAUUGAAGAAGGCCAAAAGCGACGACGUUCCUGGGUCGUUUGUCUCGCCACCAAAGAAGAGUGAUUGAAUUGAUGAUUUGUUGGGUGGUUUUGGUGUUGGAGCUGAUUGGAAUUCGAAGAGUCCGAAGCAAAAUGAAGCUGGUUUUGAUGAUUUGGUACCUGGCUUUGGUGCAAGCUCUUCUCCCAAGGGAUGGGUCUUUUCUUGGCUUAAUAAUUUUUUUUGAAUAGUUUAGCUUAAUAAAUUUACUUCACUUUUUAGAUUAUAAUUUAGUAAAACUUUUUACUCUUCAUGUAUAAUAAUAAUAAAAAUUUAAUGAUAUAAUUUCAGUCCAUACUAGAUAAAAUUAAUUCAGCACCCAUUUAAAGAUGAUAAGUUAUUAUUUGCAAUAGCAAAUUAAAGGAGAAAAAGCAAGCGGUGGUUACACACAGACACACUAAUUUUCCCCUACUUGAAUAAACUAAACUAUGCAAUCAGAUGUCUAUGCUUAAUAUAUAGACAAUCAAAUUAAAAAUAAAAAUUCAUUGCAAAAUCAAUGGUAAUUCCAACCCGUAUGAAUUUGUAAUUCUUAAUUGUUCUUCUAUUUUGGUAUAAACUGGUAAAUAAAGUAGAAAUAUAUCAUCGAUCAAAAGAAAGAGGAAACACAAACUAAUUCAUAUUUAUGUUUUUCUCGAUACUCAAAUUUACAUAAGAUUGUAAUUAAUAGUAGUAAUAAUAACACGACACCAAGACUUGCCACAUUGUUUGCAUAAAUACGACUAUCAAAUCGAUAUAGUAGUUAAGGAACAAAUUAAUUAUCAUAGCUACUAUUUUCUAAUAAUAAUAAUUAUAUCUACUAAUUAUUGAAAUUUAUUUAUUAAUAAAUUUAAAUAAUACUAUUAUUAUUAUUAUUAUUGUUAUUGUAAUUGCCAAAAUAUGUAGCAACUUACAACAUGCUAUGAGUCCAUAAAUAUUGCAAAAUAUAUCCAAGAAUAAAUAAAAUUAACCAAAUCCAGACCAGGGUAAAACAAGUAUAGGAUUAUAUGAGGAACUGCAUGAUAAACCAUACAAAACCUAGAAAAUCUAAUUGGCAUAUCUAAAAAUAUAAUAGUGAAUGGCACGUGAUUACUAACAAAAUCACGAGCCUAGAGGUCAAAUAUAGCAAAAACCAGUUAGGUACACACUUGAGUCAAAUUUGCGAGAAACAUCAAGAACAAGAAAUGACUUUACUUAUAAAGAAUGAUCAGGUAUAAUUCGAAUUGUUAGCUUAUUUAAAUUAUGAGCCAGACUAUUGAAGGACUUUUUACUAGACUAUCAAAGGAUUUAUUUCCCUUCAUAUAUUGUAAUAAAAAGUUUUUAUUAAUAUAAUGUCAAUCCAUACUAUAUUAAAUAUUUGACUAAAUUAUAGCUUAAGGCAACUUAAUGUGAUAAAGCUUAAUGCAAUCCAACUUACUUAAUACAACAUAUAAUGACGAACCAAAUGCACCCAAAAGAUAAGAAUACUUGAAUUAAAUAACAUGAUAAAAAUAAAAGCAUGAAAAAUUAUAAUACUUUUUGUAAUAGAACUAUUCGAUUAAGAAAAAAAAGUACCAUAAUAUGUAUAAAAUUUUGAAAUAAAUAGAGUGUAAAGUGUUAAAUGAAAUUUGAUAAUGAGUGUAAAAAAUAACCUAAUAUUUUAAAAAAAUUAUAAUAAAAAAAGUGUAAGGUUUUAAAUUCAACAUGUAAAUGAUUCAAUUUAAAAAUAGUAAAAUGGGGGUACCGUGAUACAGGGGCAACAUUGAGUAAAAUAUUUAUAAAUAUUAUAUAACAUAAUGUGCUAACUGAAAUGUACCUUUGGAUGCAGGUAGAAAUGUUAAAUAAAAAUGAAUUAAAGGAGUUAUAUGGAAAUUUGUCACAAAAGACAACAGAAGUAGUAUGAUACUACUGUUGUAACAUAACUGGACCCGUCCUUCUUAUUAUUUUUUUUUGAGUUCUGCUAUUUACCCCGGGUCAAACCCCAAAUUAAACAAAACGACGUCGUUUUGGCUUCUUUUUUUUGGUCCUUUUUGCUUCUAUGGAACGAAGUCGUUUCAGCCAAACAAAAGCGAAUGUCUUCGUUUUCAUCUUCUUGUCCUCUUCGAUUCUCCUCUUCGUUUCACCAGCCGUUUCAGUCAAUCGAAAGCAAACCCAAACGUCUUCGAUCUUUAGUGUUGCAAUUUGGCUGAUCUAGUGCAAGUGCUGAAUAUUAUUGCUCCGCAAGUGCUGAAUUUAAUUGCUUUGCAAGUGAUGAAUUUUGAUAGCUAUUGUCAUUUCCAUUUUAUUUAAUUUUCGAUUGAAGUAAAAUGUUAAGAAAAUAAGUGUGUUAAAUUGCAAUUGAUAUUCAUUUUUCCUUUCCGCACUUGAUUUGGGUGCUUAAUGCCCAGUGUUGAGGAUGAAGGAUGAUGAAAAUGAGAUUUUGGACCGGAAGAAACUGUGUACAGAUUUGUAUGCAUUUUGUUUUCAAUUGCUCUGCAUUUUUUGAUGAAUUGUUGUGCAAGUGAUUUCUGCAAUUUGUGUUGAAUUUGUGCUCUGUUUGUCUGUAAUUUGUGUUGAAUUGGUCUGCCAUUUGUGCUGCAAUUGCUCUGCAUUUUACAGCUCCAAUACAAACUACAAACGGACUUAUAGGGCUUCAGAUUUAGAAGAAAAAGCAUAAACCUAGGUGAGAUUUACCUUUAAAAAAAGUGAAAUAAUUAUAAAUAAUAGAAAGCAAGUUAAUUAGAAGCACAAAAGCAGAUUUUGUGGACACCAAAAUAGUCUAGAAUCAGCAGCUUUAUUGCCUUCUAUAAGCAUGAGAAAAAUCACACACACACACACACACACACACACACACACACACACACACACACACACACACACACACACACACACACACACACACACACACACACACACACACACACACACACACACACACACACACACACACACACACACACACACACACACACACACACACACACACACACACACACACACACACACACACACACACACACACACACACACACACACACACACACACACACACACACACACACACACACACACACACAUCACUACUGCUGUUCAAGCUUUUGCUUGGGUGUGAUGAAUCGAAGAGGAAGAGGAAGAAAAAGAAAAGCAGCUGCGUUUUUUCUGUUUUCACUAGGCUGAAACAACUACGUUUCAUGGAAGCAAAGAGAGAAAAAAAAAAAAGAAACUAAAACAAUGUCGUUUUGGUUUGAUUCGGGGUUUGACCCUGGGAAAUUAUGAGCUAGACUAUUGAAGGACUUUUUACUAGACUAUCAAAGGAUUUAUUUCCCUUCAUAUAUUGUAAUAAAAAGUUUUUAUUAAUAUAAUGUCAAUCCAUACUAUAUUAAAUAUUUGACUAAAUUAUAGCUUAAGGCAACUUAAUGUGAUAAAGCUUAAUGCAAUCCAACUUACUUAAUACAACAUAUAAUGACGAACCAAAUGCACCCAAAAGAUAAGAAUACUUGAAUUAAAUAACAUGGUAAAAAUAAAAGCAUGAAAAACUAUAAUACUUUUUGUAAUAGAACUAUUCGAUUAAGAAAAAAAAAGUACCAUAAUAUGUAUAAAAAUUUGAAAUAAAUAGAGUGUAAAGUGUUAAAUGAUCGAAAAUCAGACAUAAAUUACAAAAAAAUAAAAUAAAAAAUAAAAAAUUAAUAAUUUUUUAGACUUUAAACAAUUAACAAACAAACUGUUAAUAAUAAUCUUUGUUAAUUCUCUUAAUUUUUUUUUUCAAGGUUUAGCGGACAAGACCCUCUCAAAAGCCCUAAUUUAGUUCCAAUACUCAUCACAUUAACAUAGGAGCCCAUGUGAGCAAUGGGCCCCGCAAAGUCUUUUUUUUUUCCCCCAAAAAAAAUAUUAUUUAUAAAUUUCAACCAUAUUUUUGUUUGCCUCCGUAGGAUUUGAUUAUUUGUGGGGAUAGAUUUUCGAUCUAAUACUCAAUAAACGCGUCCACUGCAUUACAACUAUUAAGUAUAUAUAUUUAGAAUUGUAAUAAAUUUAAAAUUGUAAUAGAUUUAUAAAGUAGUAUCAAGUUCAAUAUCUAUAUAGUUCUUUUAUAGUGAGAACAUCAUUAGUUUAAGUAAAAUAUAAAAAGAUCAUAUAUUAAUAUAUUAAAAACUGUAUUUUUUGUCUGUUAAUAUAUUAAAAUUUAUAUUUUUUUUAUAUUUUACUGAUAUUUUCAUUUUAAGAAAAUGAAGUAUGUACUCGUUUCUGUUAUUUUAUGAUAAAAACAAAAGCAAAUCAAACAUAUCUGAUACGCAUAUUGAUACGUUACUUGCGUUGUAAGUUGCAAGCCCCACAACUGCUAAAUCUGCCAAACUAGCUAAUUGACCAUCCUGAUAUCCUGUGGCUCAAAUGGCCUUAUCAAUUUUGUAAUAACCAAAAAAGACACAAUCAUCAGUCCCCUUCAAAUCCAACGUUCAGAAAUUUCGAAUCAUGUGGUUGAUGCGCAAUUUCUUGGCUGGUGGUGGUCAUGAAGAGCUCUCUCUUCGAAAUGUGGAAACUAAACCACACAUGUGGUUCCUCGCAAAUGCCAAAUCCCAAUCGAGAGGUCAAAAUCACGGGAUGAGUAUUUUGAGGAUUUUUUUUCCAUUCGAGAAGGAUAUAUGGAUAAUUUUAUAUCUAAUUUUUUAUUCGAAAAAUGAACGGAGAAAAUUUUUUGCAUAGUUUUUUAUUCGGAGAAGAGACGGAAAUGGAGUGCAAUCCCCAUCCCCUCCUCAUUCCCCUAUUUUAUUUUUUAAAUUACUAGUAAAUAACUAAUAAAAUUUAAAUUAUAUUAUAAAAUUAUAAAUAUUGGUAAAAAUAACAAAUAUCAAAAUAUUUAUAUUAUUAUUAAAUUUUUAGGCUUAAUUAACUAAUUAAAGUCUUAAAUUUUUAUUUAGGACAUUAAAAAUGCCAGAUAGAUUCUAUUAGCCCAAAAUUUUUGUUUUAAUUUUAAUUUUAUUUUAUUAAAAAUAUUAAUUAUCUAAAUUUAUUUCAUUUGUUUUAUUGUCGAUAUAAAACAGGAUUAUCAAGAUUAACAAAGAUAAUUAUUUUAAUAAUUUAUAUUUUGUAUGUGACUUUUGUAAUGAAUCAAUGUUAAUGUAAGAUAUAUUUUAAAUUUUAUUUUUAUUUAAAUUUAAAUUUUAAUAUAAUUAACUUAAAAUUAAAAAAAUAUAUAUUAAUUAUUUAGGGAUCAGAGAUUUUCAGAAAUUUUCUAUUAUUAUUUAGGAAGAGAAUAUAAAUUUUCGCAAAUACUUUUAACAGAGACAAAGAGAAGAUAUGAAAACACGUAAAAUAUGGGAGACAGACGCGUGAGGAGAGAUUGGUCUCCUCCCCUUCCCACUGCCAUCCCUAGUCAAAACAAAAAAAAAAAUUGUCAUUUUCUAAAUACACGCAGGUCGUACGUUUUGUUUGGAUUCGGGCAAAGCCCGUAACGUCCUGAUAUUAUAUAAUUGAUUAAUUAAUUAAUUCCUAAGGUGGGACCGUUUCUGUCGCUCUCAAGUCUCAAUCAUCUGUUGGUUUGGCCCCAGUGCCGCGAAUCGAUAAUGACGCCGCCCUCACUCGGCAACAAUAUUUUCGGUGAAGUUAAGAGAUGUUAUUCCAAACGCUUUCUUUUUCAUUUACGUCACCGUUUCGUAUAGAAGUAGAGAUUGGUAAUAUUUGGUAUCUCUUCAAUGUAUUGAAAUAGUCAAAUAGAGAUCUCGUCGUUUCGUUGAUCUCAAUUUUUAAAUUAUGCUCCAUAAAUGUCUGAUGGAUGUCGAGAAAAGUGAAUAAAUUAAAUUUAAAUUCAAUCUCUUUCUCGAGUUCAAAUACAUUACAACAGUAGUAUCAUACCACUUCUUUAUCUUUUAUGACAAAUUUUCAUAUAACUCCUUUCACUCAUUUUAAUUUAACAUUUAUCUCACAAGUAUUAAAUUAAUUUCUAUUUGCAUCCAUACAAAUAUUUCAAUUAGCACCUUACACUAUUUCAUGUUUCCAAUGGCCGCAUCAAAAUAACCCACCUCCAAUGGCAUAGCCCUUAGUUUCUCUUUGAAUUCCGGCUUAAAACCCUCAUCAUAUAGAUAAAAUCAAAAUUCAUUUAGUGGGGGCUUUCCCGAUGAUAAUCUCUUUCAAUCCAACAUCGGUAACAAUGAAUCUCAAAGCAAUUCGAUGAACUUUUUCGUCAAUACUUCUACGAUCAAUUCUAGUAAUGGCUCGUCUUUGGAUUACAGUUCUACAUUUGUGGGAUCGGGGAUUUCAGAUUCUAAUGCUUAUACAUAUGACGAUGAUGGUGAUGAUAUUUUUGGAUUGAAGAAGGCCAAAAGCGACGACGUUUAUGGGUCAUUUGUCUCGCCACCAGAGAAGAGUGAUUGAAUUGAUGAUUUGCUGGGUGGUUUUGGUGUUGGAGCUUAUUCGAAUUCGAAGAGUCCGAAGCAAAACGAAGCUGGUUUUGAUGAUUUGGUACCUGGCUUUGGUGCAAGCUCUUCUCCAAGGGAUGAGUCUUUUUUUUGGCUUAAUAAUUUUUUUUGAAUAGUUUAGCUUAAUAAAUUUACUUCACCUUUUAGACUAUAAUUUAGUAAAACUUUUUACUCUUCAUGUAUAAUAAUAAAAAAAUUUAAUAAUAUAAUUUCAGUCCAUACUACAUAAAAUUAAUUUAGCACCCAUUUAAAGAUGAUAAAUUAUUAUUGGCAAUAGCAAAUUAAAAGAGAAAAAGCAAGCGGUGGCUACAUACAUACAUACAUACACACACAUAAUAUAUACACACACGUUAGCCUAUUAAUUUUCCCCCACUUGAAUAAACUAAACUAUGCAAUUAGAUGUCUAUGCUUAAUAUAUAGACAAUCAAAUUAAUAAUAAAAAUUCAUUGCAAAAUCAAUGGUAAUUCCAACCCGUAUGAAUUUGUAAUUCUUAAUUGUUCUUCUGUUCUGGUAAAAACUGGUGAAUAAAGUAGAAAUAUAUCAUUGAUCAAAAGAAAGAGGAAACACAAACUAAUUCAUAUUUAUGUUUUUCUAGAUGCUCAAAUUUACAUAUGAUUGUAAUUAAUAGUAGUAAUAAUAACACGACACCAAGACUUGCCACAUUAUUUGCAUAAACAUUAGAGUAGUUGAGGAACAAAUUAAUUAUCAUAACUACUAUUUUCUAAUAAUAAUAAUUAUAUCUACUAAUUAUUGAAAUUUCUUUAUUAAUAAAUUUAACUAUUAUUAUUAUUAUUAUUAUUAUUAUUAUUAUUAUUAUUAUGUUGUAUUGUAAUUGCCAAAAUAUGUGGCAACUUACAACAUGCUAUGAGUCCAUAAAUAUUGCAAAAUAUAUCCAAGAAUAAAUAAAAUUAAUCCAAAUCCAAACCAGGGCAAAACAAGUUUAGGAUUAUAUGAAGAACUACAUGAUGAACCAUACAAAACCUAGAAAAUCUAAUUGGCUUAACUAAAAAUAUAGCAGUGAAUGGCACAUGAUUACUAACAAAAUCACGAGCCUAGAGGUCAAAUAUAGCAAAAAACAGUUAGGUACACACUUGAGUCAAAUUUGCGGAGAAACAUCAAGAACAACAAACAGCUUCACUUAUAAAGAAUGAUUAGGUAUAAUUCGAAUCGUUAGCUUAUUUAAAUUAUGAGCCAAACUAUCAAAGGACUUUUUAUUGGACUAUCAAAGGAUUUUUUUUCCCUUCAUAUAUUGUAAUAAAAAGUUUUUAUUAAUAUAAUGUCAAUCCAUACUAUAUUAAAUAUUUGACUAAAUUAUAGCUUAAUGUAACUUAAUGUGAUAAAGUUUAAUAAAAUACAACUUAAUACAACAUAUAAUGACGAACCAAAUGCACCCAAAAAAUAAGAAUACUUGAAUUAAAUAGCAAGAUAAAAAUAAGAGUAUGAAAAAUUAUAAUACUUUUUGUAAUAGAGCUAUUCAAUUAAGAAAAAAAGUACCAUAAUAUGUAUAAAAAAUUGAAAUAAAAAGAGUGUAAAGUGUUAAAUGAAAUUUGAUAAUGAGUAUAAAAAAUAACCUAAUAUUUAAAAAAAUUAUAAUUAAAAAGAGUGUAAGGUUUUAAAUUAAACGUGUUAAUGAUUCAAUUUGAAAAUAGUAAAAUGGGGGUACCGUGAUACAUGGGCAACAUUGAGUAAAAUAUUUAUAAAUAUUAUAUUACAUAAGGUGCUAACUAAAAUGUAACUUUGGAUGCAGGUAGAAAUGUUAAAUAAAAGUGAAUGAAAGGAGUUAUAUAGAAAUUUGUCACAAAAGACAACAGAAGUAGUAUGAUACUACUGUUGUAACAUAACUGAACCCCACUUUCUUAUUGUUAUUGUUUUGUCAGAUUGAGGACAAUUGACACAUGCUUAUGAACUUUACUUGGUGGACCCCUGAAUUAUUUGUAAGUAAUUAGAUUUUCAAAUAAAUAAAUAGGACCCCGCAAUGCAUGCACCACACCUGUCCGGCAUAUGGAGAAAAAGCAUGCAAAUAUUUGUGUUUGGUAGCUAGCUAACCAAUCAGGAGCUGGCUAAGUUGGAUCUGUAUGUUACAGAAUCUGUAACUUAGCCAGCUCCUAAUAAAUAUUAUAAUUUACAGCAAUGCUAUUUUGUCCGUAGUGCUAGUGUCUGAUUGCCGUUUUAGUUUUGCCGAUUUGGGCGCCACCAAAGAUAGGAUAAAGAAAGCAUUAUUUCCUUAAAUAAUAUUUUGCGUAGAUUAUUUUUUUUUUUAAUUUUGUUAUACGCAUUGUUACUGAUAUUAACUAAGAUAUUAUAAUUAUAAUAUUUAUAAUUAUACUAAAUAAUUAAAACCACCGUUAUAUAUUAACCCACUAAAAUACUUGUUCAUAUACUUUAAACCUUUUCUAAUAUUUGAAGGGCGCCUACUCCACUCAUAUUUUAUAAAUGAGAGAUUGUCUCACUCAAUUAAUUAGUAAUUGAGUGAGCACUGAAACUAACCUAUAUAAUACUUUUAUAAAAAAUUAAAUUUUUACACUCAAUAUUAUAAAUACAAGAUUUUUUUCGUUAGACCAAAUAUCCAUUGGUACGUAGAUUAUUCUCAAUCGUCUGUUCCGGUCUCGGUCUGGUGAAAAAAUCAAAUUAUGUUUUUGCUUCUUUUUAUCUUUUAACUUAAGCAAUCGAUGGCGAGUUUCAUUCGUAAUUUGCUUCCUCCACUUGCCGAUCGGUUCGUGGCAGGUUCGUGGCAUUAAAGCCAAAUAAUGUUGUUAUUAUCAUCACAUCGUCAAUUGAUUUUUUUUUUUCAUACGGCUGUUUUGAGUUUGACGCCCGCAAUGAUGUCAGUGCCGUGCAUGUGCAUGAGUUGGCUGAUUGGCUCCCCCAUCUCUUUGCAAUUGCUCCAUUAAUUUUUGAACAUUUUUACAAUUUUGUUGGGAUACCACACAACACCCAUACAAGUAUAGUCUCCGUAAAUUACAUUUAAUAUAAAUUACAGCUAAUAAAAUUCAUCAACCGCCCCAUUUGGCUCCACGGCUCUGUUACCCAUUUUUACACUGAAAUUUUUUAUUGUAACUUAAGAAAAUUUCAUACAUAUAUUCAUAGUACAGUUUAAAAAUCUAUUCAAAAAUUUUCUUCCACACUAAUAGUAGAGAGAUGUUUACCAUAUCCAAAUAUUUCAAAGGACAAUAAACCCACGUUGGAGAUCAAAUUCAAGUUUUCAAAAUUGACGGCGUGACUUCUACCACUAGGUCUUCGCCCUGGUCGUUCAAUGGAUGCUCCAUUAAUUAGACCUCAAUUGAACAUCAACUUUUUCAACACGGAGUGAUAAAGAAAAGAAAAAAAAAAUCAAAACCAAAUUUUAAAAUUAAAUUAUAUAACUCGAUUUGAUAGAAUCACAGGCAUGAGAAUCAUGAGACUCCAAUUUUUUUAUUUUACUUUUUGUAAAAAAAAAAAAAGUCAAAAAACACGUCUGACUCUAUGCUUUAAUAGUGAGGGGGAUGUUUUGUUUGCGUGGUCAUUGCCAAAUUGACAUUUGAUACGACUUAUUCAUCUACGGUCCACAAGAGUAACCACCACAUUUUUUUUUCCCUCGCCAAUUACUAGCCAUGUUUUUUUUUUUUUUUACACAAUAAUGCUAACGUUAGAAUCUUAAUAUUUGAAUUUAAAAGAUCUCAAUAUUUUUUUUUACUAAGUACUAAUUGAUAUGAUAUUUCAAUAAAAACUGUCGCAUUAUGUAAAAUAUUAAUAACUAAUUAAUCUGAUGUGGUACUUAUAAAUAAAUUGGCUAAUUAACAAUUCUUUUUUUUUUUUUAGAUUGUCUAAUUACCAAUUCAAUAUCACAUUAAAAUUCAGAUAAAUAUUUUUUGUCACACAAUUUUAAAAGCCUGUUGGGGAUUACUUUUGGAAGGUUCGAAAGCAAUUUUAAAAAAUUAAAAGCUUAUUUUAGUAUUUUGUAGACUUUUUAAAAAAUCACUUUCAAUAAAAUCUCACAUCCUAUGGUAGAGUUUGAAAAGUAAGGAACGGAUAAUUUUUUUUUUUUAAAAAAGGAGUAGCAUUUUGAAAUUUGAUUUUAAGAUAUAGAUUCAUAAUUAAAACAAUUCUGUGUGUAUUAUAAAAAUAUAAAAUUAUCCUUAUUCAAUUAGAAAAAUAAAAUUAUUAAAUUUAAAGAGAUUAUUGUUAUUACUAAUUAUAUUGAGAUAACAAAAUAAAAGAUUUAUUUCCUGUCUGCUGUACGGCCAAGGCGGAUGUACGGUACAGCAGAUAAAUAUGUAAAAAAUUUAUUCAACAUAAUAUCUAUUUUUAUUAUUUACAUUUUUACAACAGUUUAAUAAUAAAAUUUAUUAAAAACAUAUAAUGUUUUUAAAAUCUAUUACAAUAUUUUUAAAAAUAUAUUUUACUAAAUAUAGUUAAAAAUAUUUAUCUAAAGGUCCAAUAUUACUAAACUGACCCCAAAACAAUAGAGUAGAUCGUAAACACAAAAUUACAGUAAUAAUGAGAUGGAUGAGUCAUAGAAGUUACCAGUCAGUACAAGUUCCCCCCGCGCAAUCAUGAUGCCACGUUUUUUUGUUAUAUAUAAAUACGCGCACACACAUACAUAUCUGGUAUUAAAUAGAUGGCAUGCAUUUUUAGUAACACACGGUAACAAAGCAAAAUCAUCUGCGUCUGCGAGUGAGAAGAAGAAGGAGGAGAAGGACAAGGAGAAGGAGAUUCUCUUUUUAUGUAUGUAUGUAUGUAUGUUGUAUUUUUUUUUUAAAUUUUUUUGCAUGAGAUGCCAUGUGAGACGUGACGAUACGAACAUAUUCUGACACAUAUGUGUAUAUAAUUGUUACCCAUUUUUAAUGAACUGCUGAUGAGUUGUAUUUGUAUUUUGACAGACGCAGAAGAGUUUCUUGAGCUGAGAUUCAAUGGCUGCAGGGGAGGAGAAGUUGAGAGAACCAUUUUUGAAGAACGAGAAGAGAUAUUAUGAGAAUUGCCCAGGGUGUAAAGUUGAUCAACUUAAAGAGACGAAAAGCGGUUUGCCUAUUACGGAACUGUUUUCUAUAUGGAUUAUUGUGCUUUGCACUGGUAAAUUUUGGCUUUUUGCUUUAAAGGGCUGUUUUCUUUUUUCCUUUUUUUCCCCGGUUUAUCUUGCAAAUUUAUCAAGUUUUAAUGAUUUUUUUGGUCAAACAGGGGAUCGGUGAUUUUUAUUUUCUGCAUUACAUGUUUCUUGGAGUGUAGUGCUUUUGGCAUUAUUAUUGUGGUUGGUUUAGAGGUUGUGAGUGAAUUGGGCUCAUUGAAGGAGAUUAAUUGAGUAAUAAAGCGAAUUAAAACGAUUUCCUUCGAGUUUGAGUUCGCAUUUCUACCUCAAUUUGAUAGUUUCUACCCAUUAGGUUCUUAUAAAACUUAACGGAGGUAGUUGGUAUUACUCCUCUGGGUUUGGCAUAACAAAAGCUAAGCAGAAAGGUGGUGGUUCCUAGUCACCGUGAUGACAAUUUUUUAGCUUGCUAAGUUAAUUGAGUGAUUGUUGUGUACACUGCAUAAAGUGUUGGAAACAAGUUCUGUUGUUGAUUUAAUGUAGUGUCUCUUUUUGUUUAUGGUUGUUACUUCAUCAUUGCAAGAGCUCAAUGCCCUGUUGCAGCACUUGGUUGGUUUGCUGCAUCACUUGUUUGAGUAGCUGUUAAACUUUUCUUACAUUGUGCGAUUAAUCUUGUAUAUAGUAUCCCUUAUGGCCUUCUUCUAUUCAAUUUUUCAGCGCUGCCGAUAUCAUCACUCUUCCCGUUCCUGUACUUUAUGGUGAGUUAAACUGCUUUGUUGUUCUAUAUACUGAGCAGAAGAGAUAAUCUGUUUCAUAUUUUUCUAUAAUUAGUUUAAUAAUGUCAUUGUUCUACAUUUGAUCUCUUUUCCUGGACAGGCUUUUCCGCAUUUAGUAGGAUCAACUUUAGUCUUAUUGUAUUCUCAAUGAUUUUGCUUCUAGUUUCAUGCAAGGGUUCAUAUAAUCUGCUGCAAUGCUUUAUAGAGAUCCCUACAUUAGAUGUGAAAUUAUUAGCUUGAGAAGCUAGAAAUAUAAGAACACAAAGCUUAAUCUGUCAUAUUUGAUCAUUGAUUGCACUUUUAAAGUAGUCUUUUUGUUUAUUACCUAUUUUCAGAUUAGGGAUUUUCAAAUUGCGAAAAGAGAGGAAGAUAUUGGCUCCUAUGCUGGCUAUGUGGGUGAGCUUGUUUUCUGUUCUUUCUCUUUCAUGACACGAAAUCUAAUACACUACUGUGCUUAUAGCGUCAUUCAUUAUCAUUUUUCAGUUCUUCAAGAAUUUAUCCUAACAAACCUUUUGAUACCUUGUAGGGUCUUCAUUUAUGUUUGGCAGAGCUUUGACAUCUGUUUUCUGGGGAUUAGUGGCUGACCGCUAUGGUAGAAAACCUGUUAUAAUAAUGGGGACUGCUUCAGUGUAAGUGACUGCUAUUUUCAUAUCAAACUGAAAAAUGAUACUUCGGCAAUUAGUUCUGGAUUACUUUAUUUUCAGACACUGCAGAUCUAUUCUUUCUCACAACGUUCUGACUUAAAAUGGUCUCAGGGUUAUUUUCAACACUCUCUUUGGGCUCAGUGUGAAUUUUUGGAUGGCUGUACUAACAAGGUUUCUUCUUGGGAGUUUGAAUGGCUUACUUGGACCAAUAAAGGUAUUCACAAUUCGUACUGUAUGUCAUUUCUUCAUUGGUUUUCUGAUUUCCUGUGAAUAUCUAUGCUUAACUUCUUUCAUGACCAGGCAUAUGCAUGUGAAAUAUUCCGUGAGGAGCACCAAGCUUUAGGACUGUCAACGGUGAGCUUACAGGUCUAUGUAUGAUUUAAGAUCUUAAAGAAAAUUAUUUCAGCGUCAGAAUUGAGAACUAUGUGUGAUUGAUUCAGGUUAGCACAGCAUGGGGAAUAGGAUUGAUUAUUGGUCCAGCACUAGGUGGUUUUCUGGCUCAGGUACUCCAAUGCUUUGAUCUUGUGUGCUGGCAAAUACAUGUGGCUGCAUCCUUUUCAUUUUCCUCCUUUUGCAGUAAAGUUCUAAUGUUUCUCUUAAUUUUUGAAUCAGCCUGCAGAGAAAUUUCCAAAUUUAUUUUCAAGCGAAUCUCUGUUUGGAAAGUAAGUGAAUUUUUACUGCUUAGUUAUUCUUUUGAACUUUUUUCUGGAGGGUUCUUUAGGGAUGAUGGUCUUCUGGAAAAUGUUGUGCAGAUUUCCUUAUUUCUUGCCUUGUCUCUGCAUAUCACUUUUUGCUUUUGGGGUAACCAUUGCUGCUUUCUGGCUUCCGGUAUGUUAAUUUUUGUUAUUUAUUUCUAGAGAAAUAUCUAUCAAAUAUUUGUCAGGCUAUAGAAUUGUCGAUUUGACCAUUUAGUUUUCUUAAGUGGGAUGUACUAUUAAGUUACUCUUUCAUAAAUAUCAAGAUUGUCUGAAUGUGUAAUAACUAGUGUGAGUUUGAAGUUGAUCUCAUAAGUUAUUCUCCGUCAGCUUCUUCUUUGACAGCUAGAUGUGACUUUUCUCUGCCUUAAUGUUUUGUGAGUCUCUCAGGAGGUAAAGCGUGUAUAUGCUGGACUGAAAGGAGUGCAGUAGGAGUUAUAUGCACAAUGACCUUUUUUAAAUAGGAAUUUGCUUUUCUGAUACCUUACCUUUGCCUGAUCUAUCUUCACACCUCUCACUAUUCCUCAAGAGUCAUAGAUCUUUGAUAUUACAACAAUCAUGAACAAAAUUGUAAUAUAUUUGGGAGUGUUUAGCCUCUAAUUCUCAAUUUCUCUAACGUAUUACAAUAAUUGCCCAAAAAAGUUGUUUUCUCUUCAUUUAUGCUCAAGUUCCUGAUUUUUGAUUUGCAUAAAAGAUCCAUGGGUAUCUUGGGGUUAGAAAGGUUAUAGAGAACCAUUAAAUUUUAAAACAUCUUUGUUCAUUGUUUGUUGAGUUUUUGGAGACAUAUUAAUGUAUGUAUUACACAUGCUUGUCUCAUAUUUACUAAUCUGAAACCAUAACAUGCUAUCAGUUUGUCCUAAAAUAUGUUUGGUUAUUGCAGGAGACAUUGCACAGGCACAAUGAUGAUGAUGAUUCAUGCGAUGUCUCAUAUGAUGCUUUGGAAUCUGCAUCUGCAGAAGUUAAAGAAGAAGAAGGAAGAGAGGCAACACCUAAGAAAAGCCUCUUAAAGAAUUGGCCCUUAAUGUCUUCUAUAAUUGUCUAUUGUGUUUUCUCACUUCAUGAUAUGGCUUAUUCAGAGGUAUAAUUCUACUUCAUUUAAGAUAUUUUUGGCGUAUUCAUUGAAUUAGUUCUUAGUUAUCAAGAUGUUGUCUUUUUCUUCAUUUUUCCCCAUGAAUAUCAGUGUUAAAAUUGAAAUGCCUUUUGUUCUGCCCUUAAUAAUGAUCUGUAUGUCUGCAUCCAUUUUUAGAUAAUAACAUAUAUAUGGCUAUAAGUAUUUGUCCUACUUGUGAUGUGUUGGAUAUUGUCACUGUUUACAUAAUCUUUCAAAAUUUGAUUUCUUAUGACCAUUCAUGCUACUAUUUCAUAUCCAAAGCUUCUAGCUAUGAAGGGGUAUUAAUACUAGUGUAGUUGCGCUGGGCUUCAUAUGCAAAGAAACUAUAUUUCUAUUUCUAUUGGUUAUCUUUCUUCUAUCUGUGUACAUUUUAUUUUUACUGAUUAUCAGACCGGCUAAAUGUUGUGACUUUUUUUCUUCUACAGAUAUUUUCAUUGUGGGCCAACAGCCCUAAGAAGCUUGGAGGUCUGAAUUACUCAACUCAAAUGGUUGGUGAAGUUCUUGCUAUAACAGGUACAAAAGUGGACACUCAUAUUCUGCCUUUUAAAAUUGAUUAUUGUAUUUUUCUUUAAUUUUUUUUUACUAUUCAAAUCGAACGAACUCUCUUAGGUUUGCAGACCACUUAUGAGGAGGCAUUUUCUGUGCUACCAAUGUUUUGUUAAUGGAUAACGGAUGCAUUUAUUGUGAUAGAUCACUGAUAAGAUGGAUACCUGAUAAGAUGGACAUUAAUAAAAAAUGAAGAAAGACAUUACAGGAGUAGUUAACAUGCUAGUUCUUUUGUUCUGUCUUGCUCGAAAAAGACAAUUAACUCCUUGACCACCAAUCUCUGCAAUUAUCAAAUCUAAAUUGUCACUGAAAAGAUGAAUUCUAUCAUCAAGAAUCAGUCACAUGAUGAGUCAAACAAAAAAAAAAAAAAAAGGAAAUCAGUCACUUGUACUGACGUGAACUACUAGCCUUUUGAUCUUAGCUGUGAAAGUGAAACCCUUCAAUCCAUGUGUUUUGAACCCUUAAAACUGCCACUGUCUCUGUCUUCAAUAGCUUUCCUUUUAGUUCUGUGAAAGAAAUAUUGUCAGCCCUUUUUCCUUCAGCAUUUCUUCGUUUACCAUCUCUUUCUUGACAUUCUACGAGAACAAUCUUUGUGAAAAGGCAGAAUCUCUUUUCAUGGAAGGUGUCGCAUAGAGAAGACAAGGACCUUGUUAGAGUCUACAUACUAUUAUAUUCUUUUCUUUUUGAAUUUUAGGGCUUAAAUACUAUUAUUGGGCCCUUACUUAUGGCCUUAAGCUUUUAUGUAAAGUGGCUCUUGACAUGGAAUCAAAACUAGCUUGAUUAAGUGGCCUUGUAUUUUAAUCCUUCUGCUACGUUGAUUAAGUUAUAUAAUAGGUUGUAUUUGUAUUAUUGUAUCUUCAAGUGCUCUUUUCUAAGUUUUAAAAUUUAUGGAUUGCUCUACAAAUAUGCUUGACAAUGGUCCUCUUAUUGAAAUAACAGGUUUCAGCCUCCUUGUUUUCCAACUUUCUCUAUACCCAUUUUUGGAGAGGAUUCUUGGGCCAAUAAUGGUAGCACGCAUUGCAGGGGUAAAUUUUGAGCGCAGUGUAGCAUUUAUUUAGUUUUUUUAUUUGAAAGAGCAUUUAGUUAGUUUAACAUAUAUGUUUGAAAACUUUUUUCUUUAUGCUAUUGGUUACGCAAUUUCUUCUUUACAGGUAUUGACCAUUCCUCUUUUGACAAGUUACCCUUAUAUAGCAAUGUUAUCGGGGUUCGGCCUUGCCUUCUUGUUAAAUUGUGCUUCUGUGGUGAAGAAUCUUUUAUCCGUAAGUUGAUAUACUUCUUAGACUAUGAUUAUGCUGUGAACUAUUUUCUAGUAAUUGACUACUGAUAUCAAGCAGUUCUAAUUGGUGAAAAUUAAUGGGGUUAAUUGUCAGAUGUUUACAAACUACUUGUUUCCUCGUCAAAUAAUUCCUGCACUCUUAAAUGGAAUAUAACUAGGUUAUACAUCUUGACAUCUGUAUCUGUAAUUUGUACUUCAGUUGAUUAGUCAAUAAGAGGUGUGAUUCUUCUGGAAUGACUAAAUUAUACUUUCGGUAUGCUUUCUGAGCAUAGGUCUGUAGCAAUUAGAUAACUAUAGAUUGUAGAAAGUGGAUGUAUUCCCCUUAGAUACGUUGAUUAUCUGGUUGUUUCGUUGCAGUAAGAAUGAGUAUAAGUUAUGAAAAUGGUCCCCUUAGAUACGUUGAUUAGCUGGUUGUUUCAUUGCAGUAAGAAUGAGUAUAAGUUAUGAAAAUGGGAACAUUUUCCAGAGCAAUUCCCACUCAUCGCACAAUGAGCAUAAAUUAUAAAAAGUAAAAUUAUAUUGGACAAUAUGUAUCCAUGCAUGAGGAAGCAUAUUUCACGUUUGUGAGAGGUCCGCUAAUUCUCGACUUAUUGAUCUCACUAGAAGUCUGGAACAGUGUCUUUUCAUCUUUCUGGACUCAGAAAUUGGAGUGAUUUAGUCUGUCAAUAAUGCUCUGAAUUAAUUCAGAUUCCAUAUUUCUAAAAUCAUUGCCUUCAUAUCUUGUUUAUAAGUGUUUGUAGUAACUUUUUGAUUUUUUAUAACUAGGUAUCUAUCAUAACUGGAUUAUUCAUUCUGCAAAACAGAGCAGUGGUAAGAGUUUUAACCUAUACUUUAAGUUGUCAUUUCUGGUUUGUCAAGUUAUGGUUCGUCUAAAGAGGAGCUGAUCUGAAAACGUAUGGCUCAACAGGACCAGGAUCAAAGAGGAGCUGCUAAUGGAAUUGCUAUGACUGGAAUGUCACUUUUCAAAGCUGCUGGUCCAGCUGGAGGAGGUGCUCUGUAAGUGUCCUAUUGAUUUCUCCCAAUUGUUUUAGGUGAUAAUGAAUCUGCUAGAAAUGAUUAAACUGUAUGUGGACAAUGUAAAUUAACUCGUAAGUGCAUUCCUAGCAUGAACUGAUUAAAGACACUAUCAAUAUGUCCUGUAAUGAUUAAAGACUCUACCUAGUUGGAAGGGAGCUUAACUCCAGAUAUGAGAUGAAUCUCAAUUUUAUAUAUGUUAGCUAUAUCCAAUUUUAUAGUUAAGGCUCAGUUAUACUAUUGUCCUAGGUUUGCUAAACAGUUGCAUUAUGUGAGUCUUAUAGAUUCUUUAAGCCUGAGAAACUAUUCAAGGUCGAAUGAGUAGUUAGAUAGCAUUUUCCCUCUUUUUCUAUCAUAAAACAGACCAUGAGAUGCCUGUUUGUAAGCAAACAAUUGUUUUGGUCAUUUCGCUUACCCUUAAAUCAAGAUAUAUUAUUUUCUUAAAAAGAAUGUAACACAUGAUUUGAUUGGUCAUGGUUAUAUAAUGUGGCUUUUUGCAGAUUUUCAUGGGCACAAAAGCGUCUGGAUGCUUCCUUCCUCCCAGGUAUGAUGCCAAAGAAAACUCUCAUUAUUAGUCUCAUGUUGGCUAAACUAUAAAAGUGAACUUGAAUAUAUCCUGAAAUAGAGCACUGAUUGUGUGGUUUCCGAGAUGACAUAGAUGUAGGACGCAGAUUUAGACUUGCGUGCCAAGUUUGUUACAAUGUUGCAUUAGGAUAUUAUGAAGAUCGAAUUUCUUAGUUGCGUAAAUUUUGAGUGCAGGUUCCCAGAUGGUUUUCUUCGUUUUAAAUGUGGUCGAGGCAAUUGGAGUAUUGAUGACAUUCAAGCCGUUUUUAGCUCAGCGCCACGACUAGGGGAAGAUCUUUUAAUUUUCAGCCAUUUUAAGUUUUGGGAAUGCUUCAACCAAAUUGAUUCUUUUGGGUUCCACAUCAGUUUUUGGGGCGGCUAUAAACUUGUGAUGAUGAUGAUGGUGCUCAUACCAGUUGAUUUUAUUGCUAAUUUUCUUUGUGCUGAAUAGCUAUUACAGGCUAUUCUUAUUGCCAUUUUUACAAUGUUACUAAUAUUUGUUGGUAUAGAGUGCCCAUUCAUUAUUGUUUAGAGCCUCUUCAUUGUAGAUAUGAACUCCUCACUCCUGUACGCUCAAAUAUCAAUAUUAUAAAUUAUUAGGGUAAUUAAUUGAGUAAAUGUUCGUUUAUUCCUUAUAUUUUGAUUUAAGUGUUUACUACUUAUUUCCUAUAUUUCAAAAAAUAAAUCAAACACUCUUACUAUUAAUUAUGUUAUAUUUUUAUCCUUAUUUGUUUAUUUUCUUUUACAAUAAUAUUCUUAUAACGAUAUUCUUGACAUUAAUUAAUUUAUUUACAAAAAUAUUAAUGACCAAAUUAACCAAUAAACACAAGUACAAAAGAUCUAAUAUAUUUUGUAUUUGUCAAACAAUCUUACUAAUAAUUAUUUAUAAAUAAAUUAAUAUCAACCAACUUAAAGAAUGUUUAAUAUGUUUACAAUAAUUUUCUAAUAAUUAUUUUGCCAAAUUAAUCUUAAAAGUAAAGUAACAAUAUAAAAGUUUUCAAAUCUCCUUGGGCUUUGAAUGGUUUACUUGGACCAAUAAAAGUGAUUCAUCUUUGUUUAUUUUACAGGACAAGGGAAUGCUCAUUUUGCUUUUGAUAUAUGUAGAUGAUGUUUUAAUAACAGGAAAUAACUCUUCUGUUAUUCAAUCGAUCAUCUCAACAUUAAGUACAAAUCUUGCACUGAAAGACCUUGGGACACUUCGAUAUUUUCUUGGGAUAGAAAUCAAAUAUUCCCAAAAUGGGGUAUUUUUAUCUCAAAUUAAGUAUACACAAGAUUUACUAUCAAAGGCAAAGGUGCUUUGAUUGUACUCCUGUGGCAACACCGAUGGCUAUAAAAACAACUACAAAUCUUGAGGACAGUGAACUUGUGAAUGUUACAGAAUAUCGAGGCCUAGUUGGUAGCUUACAAUAUUUGACCUUUACAAGGCCGGAUAUAACAUAAGCUGUAAAUAAAGUGUGCCAGCGCUUCAAUGAUCCAACCAAGGUAGAUCUCAAAGCAGUAAAAAGACUUAAAUUCCUUAGGAAUUGCUUUCUUUGGCAAGCAGAGCACAAGAGACCAGAAACUUGUAUUGAAAAUAAAACUUGAAUUGAAUUCUGUUUACAGAUCAUCGUCUAUUUAUACAUAAGAAAACAAAAGUGACAGCUAGCUAAAAAUAACAAAUUCAGAUAAAAUAAAAUAAUCCAGCAAUCAUUAGCCAAUGAUAUGAUGCUUCCAGAAUCUUCAUCCAUUUAUUCCAUGUGCUGGUAUUUCUCUGUGUAGCAGUUUUGCCACCUCAUUGAAGUUGCAUCAGCUGGUAAAUAGGUGUAGCUUAGGUGGCAUGCCAAUGUGUCACUGAGCUCAGCUGAUGAUUUGUCAUGGUCAUGGCUGCUAUCUUCAACAAUACUAAGGUUAUAUUAUCCAUCAGCAAGUAUGUAUAAAAUAAUUUUGUCUUUUUUAUUAGAAUUGUUGUAAUUCUUUUUUACUUUUCCUGAAUUGUAACAUCUGGUGUCUAUAAUGAGUGGAUAUUAUCCAUCAGCAAGUAUGUAUAAAAUUAUUUUGUCUUUUUUAUUAGAAUUGCUGUAAUUCAUUUUUACUUUUCCUGAAUUGUAACAUCAGGUGUCUAUAAUAACUGGAUUGUUCCCUCUGCAAAACAGAUCAGUGGUAAAUAUAUUUUCUUUUGUUUGUUUAGUACAUUUCCAUGCUUUCAGCUUUUUCAAAUUUUGUAUGUGCCAAAGUUUAAAUUAAUUGGUUGGUUUAUGGUAUAAUAAGAGGUAUGAUAAUUUACUAAUGAAAUUUCUCACUAGUUUGUGAAUUACUUGGUGCUAAUUGCUUAAACUAAAGUGCAGGUAACCAGAUGAUUUUUUUCAUUCUGAAUUCGGUGGAGGCACUUGGAGUAAUAUUGACAUUCAAACCGUUUCUAACUCAACGUGCCCCAUGAGUGGAGAAAAGAUGCAUCUGUUGAAAUAUUCAAAUAUAUAUCAAGCAAAUUAAAGCUUUCAAAAUCUUUCAACAAUUUGAUUGUUUGAUGUGGUUGCCACUUGCCAUAUUUUGUGUUACUUUUCUAAAGGCUUAAAUAUGAAAAUGGUUGUUGGUGCUCACGCCAAUUGAUUGCUGGUAACAUUAAUUGUGCAGUACUUGUCAGAACUACCACAAUUUAUCUUCACAAUGAUGCUACCUAGAAAGAAAAUUUCAUGUUAAGUAAAAUAUUGAAGCCAUAAAGAGUCUUAUUCCAGAGCCUUAUUAAGUACUAAGUUUUCUGCCAUGCUUUCAAAGUUUACAAAUUCGAAGCUUGGGGAUUCUGUAACAAUGGAGGAUAAAAAUUAUAUAAGAAUAUUAUUUUGUACAAUUUUCAUACAACCAGACAGAAGCGAGCAUAAUUUUUUGAUCAUAACUCAGAUCAAAAGACCUUCAAUGAUGUAUAAUAUGCACAUAAAGCUAGCUCAGAACCAGACAUUAGAACUUAUGAUGAAAGGGAAACAUAGAUGUUGAGAUUGAAAACAUAGAGAAAUUUUUUUAAAAAGUCUGAAAUUUUAUUAAUAGAAGUUUGAAUAACAAAAUUAGGGUAUUGGACGCUUUUUACACAAUUUCUAAAUAUUAUGUAUUUAUCAAAAUAGGCAAACUUAAAAUAUUAUUACAUAAUAACGUUUUCCUAACUGAAAUAAGAAAAAUAAAAUAAAUCAUACUUAAAAUCUUAUAUUUAGAGAAAAAAAUAUAAAAAUAUUGAAAAUAAUAAAAAAAAAAGAAAAUAUCUUAAACUUUGUAAAAUAACUAUGAAAUAAACAGAAUUUCUUGCCGAAUAGAUACCCGCUCAAGUUAUGAUCUAGGAGUGAUAUCCUGCUCAUCCUAUGCAACCAUCAGCUGCAUCAACUUCAUUCCAAAAUUAACAAAUAAACCAACUGACGCAUUGCAAAUAAUAAGAUGAAACGAUAAAAUAAACCUAGAGAUCAAACAACACAAGGUAAUAUAUUAAAAAGCCUAUGGGAUCAAAACACAUCGUACUAUGUCGAGAGAGAUGACGACUCCUCCAACAGCAGAAAAUAAAUUCUUUCAUUCAUUAAUUUAAAGUAAAUUUGGUGCUCCAUCUUCUUCUCCGUCACCUAUUACCACCUCUGUCAUUGCCCUGCAUCCAGCUACCUUCAUUGAUACGAGCCGCACUAGACUUUCUGCUGUAGUGGACGGAUGUUACAAUUCCUUGCAAUGGAAAACCACCAAUUCUGUUAGAUUCCCAAAAAAUAUAGAUGAUCAUGGGAACAGACUUAAAUGCUUGUAAAAUAGUCUUAGAAUGUCAAGAUAUUUAAAAUGGAGUCCAGUUUGGAGUUGCUUCAAUGAUUAAGUCUGGACAGGAUUAACCAUUUUAUCAGUGCCUACUUCCCACUUGUUUCUAGCAGUAUCCGGCUUGAUUUAAGAAUUUCUCUUUGUAUGAACUAUAACCCAAUAGGAGAUAUUACCCAAAAAAAAAAAAAAACUUAUUUCAAAUGACGCACAGGAGAAGAGUUACCUGAAUCUUCAUCAGUAUCCAGACAUUCUACAAUCACAGAGUAAAGAGUUCUAACAGGAAAAACAGAGAAAACAACGUUCUUCUAUACUUCUCAUAAAACUAGACCAAAUUAGUCCCUUUCUUGGUAUCCAACGUUUUCAAACAAUAUUUCCACAAUAUAGUUUUUCAUAGCGAAGAGUUUUGCUUUGAUGGUUUAAGGAUUUGUUCUGGGCAUAAUGCUCUGAUUAGAUUUUGUUUAUUUUUAAUUUUUUAUCCGAUGAAUGAUUUUCAGCUGUUCUUAAUUAUGUGUUCAUAGGGAAGAGCAUUUGGAAAGAUCAUCAAAAAAAAAAAAAAAAAAAGUUUCCAAACAAAGAUAGGUGUGAAGCAAACCAAACUAAAUGAACAAACUAAAAUAACAGAACAGCAAUGAUGUUUUCAAGGAAUUAUAAAAUAUGAAGGCUUUUAAUGAAAUUUUAUCAUACAAAGUAUGCAAGGAAUUAUAAAAUUUUAGAAAACAAGGGGAACUCUCAAAAAAAGAAAAAAAGAAAAAAAAUACUCAAAUUAAACUAGACUAGAAGACAUUCAAUGAUGCAAAAUCUGUCCACAAAAGUCUGAACGAAUCAUUAAAAUUGCAUUCCAAAUUUAACAGUAAGCCGAUUGACCCAUUCUAAAUAAUUCAGAUGAAAUUGCGAAACAAGCCAUGAGAUCAAAUAAAUGAAAUAAAAAUUAAUUACCAGCUGAGGCUUUCUUCUAAAAAUUCACAACUCCCAAGUCAUAAGAAGCCUAUGAAAUUAGUAAUGGGUAGAGAUCACCGACUGCACCGCCAACAGCUGAAAAUAAAAUUCUUAUUCAUCAAUUUAAACUUUUACUUUACAACAAAUAUCUUAUCUAUAUUUUAUUAAAAAAACAAAUUUUGUAAAAUGUUUCCAUGGGAGAUAGAGAGUACUAUGUAUAUCCGUACCUUUUCAGCAUGUAAUUGUUGUAUGGUUGUGUUUAGAUCAUUAUUGGUCCAAAGCAAUCGAUCCUCUGUCUCUCCAUACCAGACAUUUACUCUCGGAGGCGUGAUUGAUUCUCCUGUAGUAAAAAUCUUCAUCUUGGGACAACCAAUCACAUGCAAAUCUUGUAAAGAUGGGUAUUUGAAGGUGUAAUUGGCAGAGCAAAAACUUGUGAGGCUAUCUAAAUCAAACAGUUCCAACGUCUUCAAUUUGCGGAAAACAAUCUCUUCUUUUUCAACAAAAAGUUUAUAUAAUUAUUAAUCUACCACAUUGAUCCGUUAGUCUAGACUAGCAAAGAUUAUUGUAUAAUAAAAGUUUUUAAUUUAUUGAGUAUUAAAUGAUUUUUUAUAUGUUAAUUUUAGAGGUAAAAAAGAAAUUAGGGAAAAAAGGUUGAUUUAUACUGACUCGAAAUUAUUUUAUUGCACAGUAAUAAAUUACUAAUUUAUUUUGUAAGUUCUUCUAUAUGGAAAGACUCAAGAUUCUUUUACAAAUGCUAAACCUAAAAAAGUUUAUAUAAUUAUUAAUCUACCACAUUGAUCCGUUAGUCUAGACUAGCAAAGAUUAUUGUAUAAUAAAAGUUUUUAAUUUAUUGAGUAUUAAAUGAUUUUUUAUAUGUUAAUUUUAGAGGUAAAAAAGAAAUUAGGGAAAAAAGGUUGAUUUAUACUGACUCGAAAUUAUUUUAUUGCACAGUAAUAAAUUACUAAUUUAUUUUGUAAGUUCUUCUAUAUGGAAAGACUCAAGAUUCUUUUACAAAUGCUAAACCUAAAAAAGUUUAUAUAAUUAUUAAUCUACCACAUUGAUCCGUUAGUCUAGACUAGCAAAGAUUAUUGUAUAAUAAAAGUUUUUAAUUUAUUGAGUAUUAAAUGAUUUUUUAUAUGUUAAUUUUAGAGGUAAAAAAGAAAUUAGGGAAAAAAGGUUGAUUUAUACUGACUCGAAAUUAUUUUAUUGCACAGUAAUAAAUUACUAAUUUAUUUUGUAAGUUCUUCUAUAUGGAAAGACUCAAGAUUCUUUUACAAAUGCUAAACCUAAAAAAGUUUAUAUAAUUAUUAAUCUACCACAUUGAUCCGUUAGUCUAGACUAGCAAAGAUUAUUGUAUAAUAAAAGUUUUUAAUUUAUUGAGUAUUAAAUGAUUUUUUAUAUGUUAAUUUUAGAGGUAAAAAAGAAAUUAGGGAAAAAAGGUUGAUUUAUACUGACUCGAAAUUAUUUUAUUGCACAGUAAUAAAUUACUAAUUUAUUUUGUAAGUUCUUCUAUAUGGAAAGACUCAAGAUUCUUUUACAAAUGCUAAACCUAAAAAAGUUUAUAUAAUUAUUAAUCUACCACAUUGAUCCGUUAGUCUAGACUAGCAAAGAUUAUUGUAUAAUAAAAGUUUUUAAUUUAUUGAGUAUUAAAUGAUUUUUUAUAUGUUAAUUUUAGAGGUAAAAAAGAAAUUAGGGAAAAAAGGUUGAUUUAUACUGACUCGAAAUUAUUUUAUUGCACAGUAAUAAAUUACUAAUUUAUUUUGUAAGUUCUUCUAUAUGGAAAGACUCAAGAUUCUUUUACAAAUGCUAAACCUAAAAAAGUUUAUAUAAUUAUUAAUCUACCACAUUGAUCCCUUAGUCUAGACUAGCAAAGAUUAUUGUAUAAUAAAAGUUUUUAAUUUAUUGAGUAUUAAAUGAUUUUUUAUAUGUUAAUUUUAGAGGUAAAAAAGAAAUUAGGGAAAAAAGGUUGAUUUAUACUGACUCGAAAUUAUUUUAUUGCACAAUAAUAAAUUACUAAUUUAUUUUGUAAGUUCUUCUAUAUGGAAAGACUCAAGAUUCUUUUACAAAUGCUAAACCUAAAAAAGUUUAUAUAAUUAUUAAUCUACCACAUUGAUCCCUUAGUCUAGACUAGCAAAGAUUAUUGUAUAAUAAAAGUUUUUAAUUUAUUGAGUAUUAAAUGAUUUUUUAUAUGUUAAUUUUAGAGGUAAAAAAGAAAUUAGGGAAAAAAGGUUGAUUUAUACUGACUCGAAAUUAUUUUAUUGCACAAUAAUAAAUUACUAAUUUAUUUUGUAAGUUCUUCUAUAUGGAAAGACUCAAGAUUCUUUUACAAAUGCUAAACCUAAAAAAGUUUAUAUAAUUAUUAAUCUACCACAUUGAUCCGUUAGUCUAGACUAGCAAAGAUUAUUGUAUAAUAAAAGUUAUCAAUUUAUUGAGCAUUAAUUUAUCGAUAUUUUGUCAUAUUUUUCAAAGUUAAAAAUAAGCUAUAGAUAAAAAAUCUAGAAAAUGGCUUCAUACCUUUUCCAAUGGCAAUAGGGGCUGUUGUGCAGGAGGAAUACCAAGUUGAUCAUUCCCAUUAUUCUGCGAUAAAUCUGCAGCGAAUAUCUUUAAUUUGUCACAACCAUNNNNNNNNNNNNNNNNNNNNNNNNNNNNNNNNNNNNNNNNNNNNNNNNNNNNNNNNNNNNNNNNNNNNNNNNNNNNNNNNNNNNNNNNNNNNNNNNNNNNNNNNNNNNNNNNNNNNNNNNNNNNNNNNNNNNNNNNNNNNNNNNNNNNNNNNNNNNNNNNNNNNNNNNNNNNNNNNNNNNNNNNNNNNNNNNNNNNNNNNNNNNNNNNNNNNNNNNNNNNNNNNNNNNNNNNNNNNNNNNNNNNNNNNNNNNNNNNNNNNNNNNNNNNNNNNNNNNNNNNNNNNNNNNNNNNNNNNNNNNNNNNNNNNNNNNNNNNNNNNNNNNNNNNNNNNNNCUGCUGUACGGCCAAGGCGGAUGUACGGUACAGCAGGUGUUGAAGUUAAUUAUCUCAUUAAUAAUAGUAUAAAAAGUUAAUCACUAAGAAACACAUAGCAAUAUUCUGGGAUAUAAUUUUAUAUCAUAACUUUGUAAGUGUAUAAUUACUCAUUAAAUUAACAAAAUUAUUUUAAAAUAUUUAGUUAAAAAAAUAAAUUAUAUUCUUUUUAUUUCAAAUAAUCUAUAAGUUAACUCAAAACAUAAUCAAGCUGAGAAUUAAAAUAAUGCCACUGUAUGAGAGGAUUUUUAUUUUUUUUCCCGAAGUUUCACUAGGAAAUUAUUGAUAUAUAGCUUUAUUCGGAUCAUCUCAGAUCAAACGACAAAUAAUUGAAAGACUAAACUAAAUAGACCAGCCAACAACUUUGUACAGCAGAGUUCAAAAAUUAAGGUCAUGGUAUUGAGGUGUUCUAUCUUCAAAAGUACGGUAUAGUGAUAAAAUAAAAACUAUUAGUCUUUGGUAAGAUAUGACUUUUAAAUAAUAAUUUUCACAAAAAUACAAAGAAUAUUUAUAAAGUACUUCUAUAGUGAGGAGACCCUCGCUUUGUUAAAGUGAAAAUAUCAAUAAUAUACAAGAAACAUAUAUUUUAACACAUUAAGAAUUGUAUCUUUUUAAUCUAUUGGUGUAUUGAAAUAUGUGUUAUUUAGUUUGUUAGUGAUAUCAUCACUUUGUUAAAAUAAGGAUGUCAGAACCAUUAUAUAUAAGAAAGUAAAUAUAUUUUUGUACGGUAUAAUAGUGUAAUAACAUCACCCGAGUAUAUCAUAUAGAGUAAUAGUUUUUGGAACUUUAAUAAAGUUCAAGAUUAUAGAAUGAAUGAUUUAUAUAUAUUUUAAAUUUUUUAUCAUAAAGUGGAGGACAAAAGUAACAUAUUUUUCAAAUUAUAAUAAAUAGAUAUUUUAAUUUAACAUCGUGAUUUCUCCUAACUAGAGUAGUAAAUACGACCUAGGAGGUACAUUCAAAGCAUUUCAUAAGUUAAUUGUUAAUAAUAAAUGAUACAUGCAGCUCCAAUCAUCAUUUUACGGCGAGUAAUUUCCAGUUAUAAAUAGAUAUUACUCCCUUCCCAGCAAUUUUUGAUGGCAAUUUAUUGGGAUCAAAAUCAACAUUGAAUAGUCAAAAUAUUAAUGGCCAUGAUGCUUAUUCCAAUGUGAGUAGUUCACAGUGGGUACUGCACAUGAUGCUUGUUUCUCCUUUUGCAUCUAUUUUUGUUGUUAACAUUAAUUUCAAUAGCAGCUCGUUAUUAUGUAUACAACAUUUCAAAGUUAAUCCAAAAAAAAAAAGACAAAAAUUAGUUCAGCUGACUAAAUUUGAAAGCAUGGAUUUGCCGUCGAUUAAAAAUCGUUUUGUAGGGAAAAAUUUUGGAUUGCAAUUUUCAUACAAUACAUAGAAUUAUCAUAAUCUAUAAAUUAGGGCUCGUUUGGUAUUGUUUUUGAAUUUAUAUUUUUUGAGAAUAAAAAUGAAAAUGAAAAUGGUGUUUUGCAGUUGCUGUAUUUUGAAUUUAAAUAUGCGUCUGGUAUCAUUUUCUGUAUCCUAUAUUUUAAAACUGAAAACAAUAAUAUGCGUUUGGUAGACACAGUUGAAAAUGAUAAAACAAAAAAUAUGUGUUUGGUAAUACUUUUUUCAAAAACAGUUUUUACUAAGCAUUUACAUUAUAUUUGUAGUCAUAAAAUAAUUAUUUAGCUAAUACAUACAUAAAUACAACAAAAUAAUUUAAACAAAUUUAUUAUUAAAAAAUUACAUGAUGAUAAAGUUUUAAAAUUAACAUUAAUUAAAGAAAAGUUUGAUAAUAAACUGAAAGCAUGCAUGGUAUGAACUAGAGUUAGUGCAAUUUAACAUGAAGCUUGCUCGUGCAAAAUUAUUUUAUAUAGCAUUUGCAGUUUCAAUUUCCAAUUCCAAGGUUCUGAUUCCAUGCUCCCAAACACAACAAUAAAUGUAAAUCCAAUUACACAUCUUCUUGGAACAACUUUUUGUGAAGUAAGUGCCAUUUUUUUUUUUAAGAAUAUUCAUUCUGAAAACACAUUAGACACGGAAUUAGAAAGCUGUUUAACUGCUUUCUAGAAACAAUAUUUGCUCUGCCAAAAGAAAAAAAAAAACUACUUCACAUUGACUCACCAAUCCACUCCUCCACUUUCAAUCAUAAAUUCCACAAUAAUCAAUAAUCAUCAGCACUAGCAGGAAAAUUACAUUACACGUUCAGCAACUCACAUAACAAAGAUUCCCAAGCAAAUUAAAACCCAAUGAAUGCCAAAUUCGAUUGUACGCAAUCCAAAGAUUUGUUGUAUAUACAACAAAACACUUAACUGCAACUGCAUCGAAGAAGGAGAGUGUCCUUCUGAUUGUUAUCCUCUGUUUGUAUAUCCAAAAUUCAUGGCCCCGACGCUUACUUCCUCCAAUUCAUUUCUGCUCAAUACAACACCCCGUUCAAGGCUCAUCGUCAAGAACCCAAGAUUCAGUGUGUUUGCCAAGAAAGUUGGACCGUUCCCUCCAUUUCAGCUUGGCAAGUCGAAGGAUGAGAAUUCAUCUGAUGAAAGCUCAAAUGGUGAUUCCGGCAAUUCCAAUCCUUUUNNNNNNNNNNNNNNNNNNNNNNNNNNNNNNNNNNNNNNNNNNNNNNNNNNNNNNNNNNNNNNNNNNNNNNNNNNNNNNNNNNNNNNNNNNNNNNNNNNNNNNNNNNNNNNNNNNNNNNNNNNNGUUAUAUGGUUGAUUAAGUUGUAACGAUUUGUCCAGCUGGCAUGUUAUGAUUGGAAGAUGAAAUGGUUUGUUAAUUCGGCAGCUUUGAGCUCUGUUUCUGUUAUCAGUUUUCAGUGUAACUAUAAAUAAUAGUCAACACGAUUACAAUGUAUGAUUUUCAGAUUUUAAUCAAUAAGAAUUUCUCUCAGUUAAAGUUCUCUUUCUCUUUCUCUUAUGCCAAACACUCUUAUUAAUUCUAAUAUGGUAUCAGAGCCAUCAACUAUGUCUGGAUCUAAUCAUAUAGCUUCCUCUUCACUCUCAUUUCAUUUUGUUCAACCUGUAAAGCUCGACAGAUCAAACUAUCUAGUUUGGAAGGCUCAAGUGAGAACAUCAAUCAUUGCUAAUGGACUCGAAAGCUUCAUCAAUGGUGAGAAUGUGUGUCCAGAACGCUAUCUCGUGGAAUCAACUCAAGAAUCUCGAAGAUCUGGAGCUGAAGCUUCACAAAAACAAGAAAAUCCAGAUUAUGCUUUAUGGAUGAAAACCGAUAAACUUCUGCAGAGCUGGAUGCUAUCAUCAAUGGUGGAUAACGUUUUAAUCAUGGUGAUCAACUGCGAAACAUCACUUGAGCUCUGGGAGAUGCUUGCCGAAAUCUUCAUGUCACAAUCUAAAGCAAGGUAUCUACCUUUGAAGAUGCAAAUUCAAUCAACAAAGAAAGGAUCACUUUCAGUAAGUGAUUAUUUUAAUAAGAUGAAGAAAAUUGCUGAUAGUUUGGCCAUUGGAGGUAAUCCAGUCACUUCAAAUGAAUUGAUUAUGCAUUUGCUUACUGGAUUGGAUGAUAACUAUGAAUCUUUAGUUACAAAUAUACUUACUAGACUGGAAAAAGAGAAACUCACUAUUGAGGAGGUGUAUUCUAUGAUGCUUAGUCAUGAAACUAGGUUGGAAAUGAACAAAGGAAAAUAUCACAAUGAACCUCAGCAUGAAAUGACAGCAAAUUUUGCUCAGAAAAGUCAAGGAUACAAUAGAUCUGGAUAUAAUCAGAAGAAUACAGGUGCUGGUAAUUCAGGUGGUUAUGAUAACAGUCAGAAUAGCAAUACAGGUCCUGGAAGAGAUGUUGUAUGUCAAAUUUGUUUCAUCCCAGGUCAUGUAGCUUAUAAGUGUAAACACAGGUUCAAUCAGGGCUUUAUUCCUAGAAACAGAGGUUUUGAUGCUUUUAGGCCAAGAGGUGGAGGUCAGAAUUAUAGAGGACCUCCUGGAAAUAAUCAAAAUCGAGCGAAACACAGAGAGAGUGAAAAAAAGAAAAAACGAAACAACGAAGAUGGACAGUUUAUCCGGUUGUGGAAGCGGAGAAAUGAAAGAAAGAGUAAAAGCUGUUAUGGAUCUGGUGAGAAGAUGGAAACAAGGAAAAGGUUUCUAGUUCGAGAACUGAUUGAAUUAAUAUAAGGAAUGAUUUAGAUAAUAGAGGCGAAGGGAACCAAUCAGAAUAACUGAAGUAUUGACCAGCAGAAAGACGGAAAAAAUAUUGACUGGUAAUAGAGAUGGAAAAAAUGAAGAUAUCUUGACACGGUAGAAGUACAAAGGGUAGAUAUGGAACCAAACAGAGACAACAGCAGACCACAACAAGAUUGGGAAUGGACAGAAACUAAU
rnacentral:lncRNA from 1 species